CUGCUGCUGCUGGAGAUCCAACUGUUGCGGGUGAUGUCAGCGGAUUGGAUGAAAAUUCUAGGGAUGUUAAUGGGUUUGCUGGACGAGGUAGAGGUCGGGGUGAUGCUGUGGGGAAAACUUGGCAACAGGAUGGAGACUGGAUGUGUCCGAAUACAAGGUCUGUGAUGUGAUAUUGGUGAGCAGCUCCUUCUUGAUCUUUUUUAUGUAGGCUUGUUUUAUUCUUCUGUCUGUACUUUGAUUGUUCUGCAAUUAGCUGCUUAUUGUUUAUUGUGGUAGCAGUUGUUCAAAUGUAAAUUUUGCAUUUCGUGGCGUGUGCAAUCGUUGUGGAACUGCUCGACCUGUUGGUGGACCGGGUGCUGGGGGAAGAGCUGGUGGUCGUGGGAGAGGUCGUGCUGGCAAUGAAUCGGGGAGCCAGGGCCGGCAAAUUGGUGCUGCUACUGGGCUUUUUGGUCCAAAUGAUUGGUCUUGUCCCAUGUAAGCCUCUUUCUGUGAAGUUGUAUCGUGUUGAUGUCAUACAGCAAAUAUACUGUUUCUCUGUAACCUUUCAUUUGGUAAGAAGUUUUCUUGGGUUCGUUUUCGUAUAGUUUCUGUGAUACGUUAAUGCUACUUAAUGUGAUGACGUUAUGCUACUUAUCUCAUAAUUUAAGCAACUACCUCUAUCUGGCAAAAUAGAACAGAUUAAUGGGUGCAUAUUAAUGAGUGCAUAUUUUCUGUAGACAUCUGUAUUGACUGGAAGGAGAUACCGAAAGGCUGUUCUUGUAAAACUCGGUUUGUUAAAAAUUUAUAGAGGUUGAGCCCCAAUAGUGCUAUCCUAAUUCUAGCUCACUAUAUUGUUAAUGAUAGCAGACAUAUUGAAAUUGGCCCAAAGGGUUCAGGUCCUUGUGGGUUUAUGUGAUGAAUUCCUUGAUAAUUCUGAAUUUAUUAAUCAAUGUUGGUGACAUUGUUCAUGGCUUAACAUAUAUCAACACAGAUAGGAAUUUUUUUUUUUUUGAAAGGUGAGUAUGGAAAUUUGCUUGUGCAGUUGUGUGUUUGUGUGAUAUUUAUCUUUGGAGGAAUGUCUAUCAUACUUUUGCAUCUAUUAUCUUGUAUGUGGCGUGUGUAUGUUAAUUACAAUGUUUUAUGAUCACUGGAUUAUGUUAUGCUGCUAGGACAAUUUGGUCUCUUGUUUUAUGCGUAACAUUUUUCUACCUUGGUUAAACAGUAGCUUGGAGCAGAUGCUUCAAUUAUCAUAUAUAUGUAAGCUCCCUAUUUUUUAUGGUUUUUCUUCUUUAAUUUCUUUUUCCCAGGUGUGGUAAUAUCAACUGGGCAAAGCGAACAAAGUGCAAUAUCUGCAACACGAAUAAACCUGGUCACAAUGAGGGUGGUGUUAGGUAUUAGAUGAUAAUCAACUUCUUGUUUUAUUUUAUAUUUGUUUUCAUGCUUAUGUUUUUUAGCUAUCAACAGUGGAAACUUUGAUCAGUCAUCUAAAAUUAAUUCACUGUUGUGCAUUAUUUCGCAAGUUGGUGGUUUAAGAUAUAACAUGAUAGUCAACUUUCUGUUUGUUUUACCAUUUCUGUCUAUAACAUAUAUUUACUUGAUAAUAAAAAUAAGCUCUUUAGCUGUCACUUAUAGAAUUCAUAUAAUUGCAAGUAUGUCCAAUUUUCCAUACUUCGUAGGUCUACACCUAACCCUCUCCUUUUUUGAAGAGAGAAGGGGUGGGGGGUGGUUCUUGGAUUGAGUUAAAUGUGAGGUAAGAGCUAGAUAUGUUUGCUCAUUUUGAUCUUUGGUUGUUGUUGCAAGAAAACCAUGAGCCUCGUUUAAUUGCUUGUGGGCUGUGGCAAUAUGUUGACUCUGUCAAAGUGGGGAGAUACUUUAACUUGCAGUUUGCCCCUAAUAUGUUGCAACAAAGUAUAUUCUUGAGACUUUUUAAGUAGAUUAGGACAUGAACUCGCUGUCAUGGAAUGUACAUUUGGCAACAGACUAAGGACUCUCCCAAUAAAGUUCAUUUUUGUGCUCAUUUGAUCAUAAGAAAAAUGGGAAAACAUGAUAAAUAUAGCCUUUAACAUGUUUGUUCUUGUACUGCCUCCAUUUAAUCUCUUUAAUAAUUCUCAAGUUGUUAGUUAUGAUUGCUGUGCUGUGGAGCUUUUGUUAAUGCAAUAUAUGAAGUGGUACAUGGUCAAUUGUGAAAGGUUAUUGGGUAUCAUGAGAUCAACAUAAACAGCAAGAUGAUUGUUUUUGUGCCAUCACAUGCCAAUUGCAUACGGGAAGUGUGUUCAACAUCAAAAUGGAUGGAAAUUUUGCAAAUUUUGAAUCUAAGAAUUAUAUCAUUCAUUGAAUACAGAAAAUGUUGGAUGAAAUGUUAGAUGUCCUUUCAGACAUCAUCUCAUCACAUUUUAGGACUUAAUGCAGUAUCAUUUUAUGGAUACAUUUCCCUGGGAAGAAGCUAUAACUUAUGCAUUUGUGUUAUUUGUUUUAUUGCUGUACUCUUUAGAUGACAUAAUCUAAUUCAUAACUACAGUAAUUUUUUUUUCCCAUACAUGUUUAUAUUUUUCUUUUGAUUUUAUUUGGUUCUAUCUGUGAAAGGAAACUGGCUUAUUAAUUAGUGUUUCUUUCUGGCCUGUUGUUUGGACAUUAAUAUUUUGUUGAACAAUCUUUGAACAUCAUAUUGCUAUUAUAUUGCUAAAAUAUGUGUAUAUCCUUGCUGAACAGAGGAGGGCGUGGUGGUGGUUACAAAGAACUUGAUGAAGAAGAACUAGAGGAAACGAAGCGACGGAGGCGGGAGGCUGAAGCAGUAAUGAUUACUCGAACUAGAAUUACUUGAAGUUACAUAACUUAUUCUGUAUUCUUCAUAGUCUUUAUGUAUAUUUCAGGAUGAUGGUGAGUUGUAUGAUGAGUUUGGAAAUCUCAAGAAAAAGUUUCGUGCUAAGACGCAACAAGUUGAAGCAGCGCAGGUGCUUCCAGGUGCUGGACGUGCAGGAUGGGAGGUUGAGGAACUAGGUAUGGCGAGCGUUCUCUUAGAAAAACUUUUUUGUACUGUCUAUAUUUUCAGUCUUGGUGUCUUUUGGAAAGAGCAUCCUCUAGAAUUUACAAUCUGGAGUUGGUUGAAUGGGUCUGGGGUUUGUCAUUUUGAACCAUUUCUAUUAGUGCAUGUCUUUUUGUUUGGCUCUAGUCAAGGGGACACUUGCUUUGUCUGCUCUGUCUCUCCAGUUGGUGGCUCGGUGCCAGAGAAAGAGCUACAGUAAAAUAGCAGUGAUGUCAUUUGUUUUAAAUUCUAAUAGUAAACCAUUUGGGAUUCAGUUAUAUAAGAAUUCAAUCCUGUAGAACUUUUGUUUAUGGUAUGAAACUCCAGUAAAGAGGAUUCUAUCAUUAUGUCGAUAGGCUUCUUGAGCGAUCUAGGUGUUGCCCUUUGGAGUGAAGUAUGAUGUUAUUGGCACCUGGUGAUUCAGCAGUUGAAUUAUGGAGAGUCAAGAAGGUUCAAUACCCAUGUUGUGUGGUGUUUUUAGAAGAAUUCAAGGAUGAAGAGCUACUGGUUUAUCUUUGCAGUUAAUUACUGUGCUGCAAUGUAUCUUUAUCCGCUUUGAAGAAGGGAGAUGGAGAUAAUAAAUCCGCAGAUAUUGCAAGUAAAUAUUUAGAAUUCAACAUGUGGGAUGGAAAUAAUGGAAUGCUACUUGGCAAGUGUAGUAGUAAUAUUCUUGUUAUUAUUAACCACAAUUUUGCUCAUCUUCAUUUUUUGGGAGUAAUUCACCAUGAAAUUUGACAGCAUUAUAAAUGGUCAUUAUUGUUGUGUUUUUGAUGAAUUGGAUUGGCACUCAAGUAUAUUGUUUCUUUACCAAGGAUUAAGAAGAAUCACGAUGCAGGUGUGACUGAUCGUGAUGGGAGAGAGCGAAGCAGAGACAGAGGAAGGGAACGAGAAGACAGGGGAAGCAACAAGAAGAGGGGCGGUGAUGAUAGGGAGAGGCACCGAAGUCGAAGCAGAGAGAGGGACAGGGGUAGAGAUAGAGACCGGGAGUAUGAUUAUGAACGAGCCAGAGAAUAUGAGAGAGGUAGGGACCGAAUGAGGUAUCGCCGUUAAUGUUGGAUGGGUGUCUUCUGUAAUAUUUGUCCUCGGGUAGCAGUGGUUAAUUUGACCUAUUUGCUGGGGGAUAUGGCAUUUUAUUGUAAUCAAAUUUUCUGAAAUUCUAGUACUUAUUUUGGUUCGGUAAGUUCUUAAUAUUGUGUGAUCCGCAUUGUAAUCUGAUUUUCGUUUGUACUCAGAGCAUAGAUUCUGUUCAAGCAUUUUAAACUUUCUUGGUUGCCGUCUCCAUGGGAACUGAGUUAUUGAGAAAUCUGAUUUGAGUAGUAGAUGUGUUGCCCUAUAUAAGUCAGUCAGUCAGUCAGUCAGUCAGUCAUCUAACAUCUUGUGUACCUUCAAACAUACGAUGGAUAAUUUGAAGUGAAGUAAUGCGUUGCCUUCACUUUCCACGUGAUACCCUGAGAAAUGAUAUUUGUAAUUUACUUAUGGAAUGGUUGAUGAAUUAUUUGACAAGUGGCUGUUCUUUAACAAAAGAAUCGACAAUACUUGCCUGCCAAAAUAUCUGAUUACGUGAUCAUUUCUUAUUGGUGGUCCCUCAAAGUUGUUUCCCCGACCUGGAUCAUUAAUUCGUUAUUGUUAUUCGGAGUUGAAUUUUUUUUUUUAAAUAAAAAAAGAAGAAUCGUUAAGAAUUUAAGAAAUUAAAAAAAAAAAAAAAAAAGGAUGGUGAAUUGGUAACUCGGGAGCAUUUCGCGGACAAGUUCUGUGAAAAACUGGUACGUUCUUAACGAACUUAUAUGUUGUAGAAAUUGGCAAUUAUUAUAUAUUAUUAAUCAUGAGUUAAUUUCGUUAACGAAAUUCGGAAGUGUGAAUUUAUGUAAAAUUAUUUGUGGAAAAAAAAAAUGGUUGGAGUCGGCGGUAGUGGCAGUGGAGCUGGGGAUGGAAGCAGGCGGCGUUUACCGUCAUGGAUGGCGGGCGUAAACGUAAAUAAAUCCGACGGCGAAGGACUGGAUCGUAAUUCCAACUCCAAUUCCAAUUCCAAGGAGCCUGCAGAUAUUGUUGAGAAGUCUGAAACAACGAGAAGGCCCCGACGAAGGAAAUCAACUCAACGACACCAAGAAGAAGAAGAAGAAGAGGGCGGAGAGAUUAACGUCACUCGAACUCAGAAGAAAAGAAAAGUUCGGGAACCGGCCCCACCGAAGAAGGGAAAAAAACUCAAGCAAAUAACUCAUACGAGGGUCGAUCAAAUUGAAGACGAUAAUAAUGCUACUGGAGAAGAAGAAGAAGAAGAGCAAGAGCAACUCACUCUUACUGUGGAAGAUUUACUAAGCAUUGCUAAAGAGGUGACUUGUGCUUUCUCAUGCUCCAAAUUUUUAUAUUAGACGUUGCUCAACAUAUGUUGAGCCACGUUUUAAACCUGUCGCUAUUUGGUUAAUCUAUAGUUUCAACAAUAUUCACGCUCCGCUGAUCCAGUAGAGGAUUCAAAUUCUCAUGCAUUGUAGUGUGUACGCGUCUGCAAUUGCUAAACAUAAAGUGCGCGAAGUUGCUAAUCAGAUCAUUCAUGAUGCUAAGAUAUCUUAUGUUUCAAUUAUGGUGUUUUUGUGCAGUAUGUCCAAGCUGAUAGGGAAAGAGGUGAAGUGCAAUCAUCAUCAAGUAGAGAAUUGGAAUCGGAGAAAGAGCUUCUGGCAUCGACUUCUCUUGAGAAUGGUGAUAUCCUGAACCAGAAAUUAAGUACUGAUUCGGCAAUGGGUUCAAUGAGUGAACAAAGUUUGGUCUCCGUCAGCAGAACAGGGGAUCCGGCACAGGACAUGCUUGAUUUAUUUUUUGGUCCUUUGUUGAAGAAACCUGUAGAGGACCAAAACAGGACUAAAUUUACUGCUAACGAUAUUUUUGAUAUUGAGUUUAGAAAGCUGAGUGAGACCCAGAAGAAUGAUGCUGGACAAGAACACACUGUAGCAGCCCCGGUGAUGAAAAAGAAGAGCAGUCUCAAAGACAAGGUAGCAGUGUUACUUGACUGAAUAGGAUUUUGCGAAUUGAAUUGGGACACACUCUUGUACUUGCCACUAAUUAUCUUCACCUUUCUCUUUUUGUCUGAAACAAUACAGCAUAUACAUAGAACAGAAUGGAACAGUGAUUUCUGUAAAUGAAGCAUUACUUGUUUUUUUUGUGUUACUCGCUGUUCAUCAUAAUAGCUUUAGCUGGCUUUUUUUUUUUUUUUUGGGCCCCCGGCUUAAGGUGAAUUUUGUUUAGUAUUGUCACGUUUUCUCAUUUUCAGUAUGCCAAAAGGUGUGGAAUUAUUUAGAAAUUGUAGCCCUUUAUGUUCAUAGAGCAGACGUGUAGUUGAUCUGUACAAGUGGUUUGAAAUAAAUUAUUGUUGCACCUUUGGAAUGUCCUUCUGAAUGCUUCUCUUUUAAUUAAUACUAUGUACAUACUCAUACUUAAAUAUCAAUUGCUGGAAGUGUUUAAUAAUGUAAAUAUGCAAACUUGAACUUCUAUAGCCGUGUCCCAGGUGUUCUCAUAUCGGAUACCUGGCAUCCAGUGAAGACCAGGCAAUUUUGUCUCUUUAACCAAUAGGUUUAAGAGUUAUACUGCCUUUUAAUGGCUGUAUCUUUCUCGUCCUAGCAUUGCCUCAAAAUUUACUCUAGUUUUGGAAUUAUCCUUUGAACCUCCAAUGAUUUUUUAUUGUUAGCAACCUUAAAAUCUAAGAAAAUAUAGCAUUCUGAGAACACCAGAUGUUGUAUUUCCCCAUGUCCUCGGUUUCAGUGUAUUUUAGUUCUUGUUGGAUGUUGCUUUAAUUCCAAAUAUUAUUAAUGGAACCAUGUCGCCUAAUGGUUUACCAUGCUUCGUAAUACAGUUCUGAGCUGGAAAAGCAUUUUUUCAGGGUGAUUAUAUGUGAUAUCAUAGCAGAAGAGAAGAGCGAUGACUAGGAAGUAGUGAAAAAUGAUAAGAUUAAACAUUUGAAGUUUCAAAUUUAAACUGAAUUUUAAAUUUGAUGUUCGAUAAUGCAGAAUACUAGAAUGCAUGGAACUAUUAGAUUUUAAGGCUCUCUUAUCUGAGCGUGUCUUUCUCUUCCAAAUAUUGAUCUCUGCAGAUAUGGAUAAUUAAUAGUUUUAAGUCGCUUCUUUACCUGUUUGUUUGGGCUUUGGAGAUGUAGCUUGAAUGGACAAGAGAACUAAGGACCCAUUCUAUAUGCUUGAUGUUUCAUUUAUGGUUAUAUGUUUUCAUCAAAUGUUUUCUCUAGUUUUCCCCGCCUACUAGUUGAAAGGAUUUAUUAUUAUUUAUAAGUAUUCCAUGGUCAAGGUGACCAAAAUUCACAUACCUACCAGGAAAGAAGGAGAAAAUAAAACAAAAUGCAAUAGAUCCUUCGUACAUUGAUCCAAUAUAAAUAAUAUUGUCAACUGUUAUAUUAUUUUCUUUCCCUUUGUCUUGGUGUGUAUAAAGUACAAAUGGUUUGAUUGGUGUUUACAAUUGAUAAUAAGGGGGCAUAGUAUUGAACAAACCGCGUGCUUUUAAAAUUUUUAAUUUAAAAAUAAUAAUUAUAAUAAAAUCAAUUGUAUGUAUGCAUAGAAUGUGUUGUUUGACUCCUUAAAGCUGAGCGUUCUUCACUUGUAAAAAUCUUGGAAGGCCAACUUUAUGCCCAGUUUGCUUUACAUCUUCUUGAACUUGUUUUCUGUAUUCUUCAAAAGUGAAUUUUCUGUAGGUAGAAGGUUCUGUGCAACUCCCUAUUAAAGAGUCAUAUGAAGGGCAUAGGAAGUAAGCUACUGAGUAUCUUUCCAUCUUCCCAUUAGCCAUCACUUUGUGCUCUACGCUUUUGUAAACAUCAUUGCUCCAGGCCUGCAUUCGUUUUACUGAUUAUCAGGAGGAAAAAAACACAGUGCAUAAUAGGACUCUUUUUUGGUUGGAAAGAAUAAAAAAGAAAUGGUGAUAUUUGUUAUGCUUGAUGUUUGUUUACCUGGAAGAGAUCGCCAAUGUUGACAAUAAGAGCAUCUGGAUUAGGUCUAACGGCCACCCAUUUGGAAUCCUUCAUGAGUUGAAGUCCACCGACUUGAUCUUGAUAUAGGAUUGUAAGAAAAUCACUAUCAGUGUGUGGUACUAAUCCGAACAUUUCUGCAGAUAUUGGACAGACUGGAUAGCGAUUCAAGCGAAGAAAGCAAGUGCUUUCAUUGCAGCUAUCAUCAAGCAUUCCCCCUUGCUGGCUUAGAUUCUCUGCUAGAAUCCUUGCAAGUAACCUUGCUAGCUUUGACAUCGCUGCCGCAAAUUCUGUCAUCACUAACCUGCUCACAGAAUCAGGCAAAAGAUAAUAACGUUAAGCUUUACAGUUAUAGAAGGAAAAUUACAUAUAGUUGGCUGCGAUUAGGAUAGUUUUGUCUUAGUACCUUAGAGAAGUGAACUCUCCAUAGCAAGAUUGGUCUGAAAUUUUGGUGAGAGGAAUGUGAAAAGCUUCAGACCAAGAGAAUUGCUUUGGACAAGUAGCUGUAGGAGUCCCCCACCUGUAUGAGUUAUUCAAAAGUCCACAAGUAGCUUUCCUUUCGAAUGGUGUCUUAAACAAUAACUCUUGCUCUUUCCUCAUCUUCCUAAGUAGUUCAGGGCUUAUCCCAUGGUUCACCACUUGGAAGAAUCCCCAUUCGGAUGAUGCUCUGCACAUGGCUUCGGCGCUAGCUGCCCUUUCCCUUUCAUCAUGGCUGUUCAGGCCAAUGAGGUCUAUCAAUGGAAGUUGGCAUUCUUCCAUCAUGAUUCCACUUUGCUGAUGACAGUCAUGGCGCUUAGGUGUAGAAAUCUCAUCCGGGUGGCGCAGAAGUUUCUCAAAAUGAUGUACUAGAGGUGGGUUAGAAUCAACCGUCAUUUGUUCUAUAAGCUUAUAUCAGUUGGUGAUUGAUAUGAUAGAGUUGUCUUAGGAGAAUUGAGUGUGAUGUGCCUAUAUAUACAGUCUGAGAGAACGAAAGAAUGGGGAAAAAGGGAGAGAAUACAAAGAGCACAAGGAGAAAAGAACAAGAGGAUGGUAACCAAACGACGACAGUUGUCACAAGGGGAGCAUUUCCUUCUGAAUUGUCUAACGAGAGACUAAGUCUGCACACAUGGAUUAAAAUAUCGACACACAAAAAAGGCAGAGGCAAGCAAGUGGGGAAUUGAUAAAAAAGGAUGGAUCCAAAAUCUAAUUUAACUUUUUGACUUCUUUCACAGCUUGGAAAAACGUAGGCUUUUAGCGGGGACCUCUUUAACCGCUGCAAUAUGUCAAAGUGUGUUCCCAUUUAGCAAUAGUGCUUCUUUUGGACUUUUGGGACAUGAUCGUUUUAGCUUAUUUUGGUAGCAUUUAGUUGCUUUUUUUUUAUACUAAUUCUCCGGUUGUAAUGAUAAUUCUAGAACCAUAUUCUUGAACAAUAAAUUUACACGGCAUAUACGGCCUAAUUUAGCAAGCUCUAAAUUCUUUAAACUUCUCACCACAAACAGUAGCUUAGUGGGCGGUUGGUGCUCUCAAGAAAUUUGCAUUUCCCUACUCGGAUCUUGUAACAAUUUUUUCUCCAUAAAUGUAGGUGAAUGCAGAUAUAUUUCUUCAAAUGUAUCUCAUAACCAAUUUUUGCAAAGGAACUAUUUGUGUGAUUGGAUUAUUUAGAUCCAAAGCUUGAGAGAAUGGAUCUCGCCUCUAGUUAGCACAUAUUUGUAAAUUAUGAUUGAUAGUCCUCUAAAUUCUAUUAUUAAUCCAAAAAAAAAAUUUUCCUUUUUUUUUUUUUUUCUUUCCUUAAACUUCUCGAGUAAUAAUAGGAAACAUAAUCUUUUGACUUUCCGAGGGAAAUGAAAUAGGAAAGGGGUACGUGGUAGUUGGAUCCCUCUAAACCCUAAUUGAAAUUUGAUUUCUUAGACAAAAUCAUUAGAUUCCCAUUCAGGAAAGACACCUGAGUCCUAACAUCUUAAAACGUUCCAUUUUCCUGCAAUAAUUCAACCGUCAGCUCCGUUUUAAGUUAAUAAUGAUGGAAAGAUUCCUAUUCUUUUUCCCUUGUUUCUGUGGAAAAGAUUCCUUAUUUGGUACACACUCAUUACUACUGACCCCAUUAUUAGACUUGGAACGUGAUUUAAUAAUUCAAACCAACAAGCAUUCUUAUAUUAAUUAAACUAUAACACAAGCAAGUGUAUGCAAAUGUUAUUUAUUAUACCAGAUAAGAGUCCCAUGGCGAUACAAUAACACAAAACGUAUGAUUUGUGAAGUUAUUCACCAAUCACAGUGAACCAUGUAAAUUUGUUGAUGGACUUUUUGCAAACUCAAAGAAUUCUUUGCCAAGAAACUGAACAAGAAAACGAAAGGUCGAUCAAAGAGCAAGCAAGCAGUAGCAGCAGGAAGCAUGCAUGUGCAUUCUUGAAAGAAAAAACAUGCAUGUGAAGGAAGGGCCCAAAGUCAUAAAUAUAAUCAUGCAGAAUUGAAAGAACAUGGUGCCGCCCAGAAGAGUCUACAGCAUUUGAAAUUGAAAAAAGAACCAGAGUGUUAGUUAAUGUGAUGCCGCCCAAGGAUACUGCCAUAUUAAUGAACAUGUCAUUAUCAAUAUCUUAUAUGAAUCAUUGGUUUAGUUAAGGCGCAUGCAUAAGCAUAAGCGUAAGCACUCGUGGGGGAAAAAGAAGAAAGAUCAAAUGAUCACUUUCUGUAUUAAUUAAUAAACAUAUAAAGAACCAAUCACGCAGCAUACUGUUAUUGGCAUAGAAUAAGAUGCUCAAACUCAAUGCAUAAGCCCUUGAAGAUUCCCAUAAUUAAUUUAAUUGACAGUUGACCUAAGCCUGGAGACCCUUUAAUAAUUCAAUGUACAUUUCCAUUUGGAAGAACUUGUUUAGUGGCCUUUAGUUAUGGGCUAUGAAGAACCAUUUUUGUUGUUAGUGACGCUAACAAAAUCUUAUUCAUCUUUGAAGACAAAAAGGUGACUAGAAAGCAAAAGCGUAGGCUGCUUGUAUGUGAAAAUUGAGGUGCCCAUGUGUAGACAAAAUUAAAACAUUGUAUUUUGAAUGGGAAAGUCAGCCCCGGUUGGAAAUUGUUUUUUGUUGGGACUAAUCGAUUUUGUCACUUUCUUUUUGGAAGUUAAUAACUACUGAGAAUUUCUCUCUUUUGCUUUGAUUUUGAGGAGGACAGGACGUUCAAUCGGCAAACGAAGCACAAAUAAUUGGGAGAGCACUAAUUUUGAUGGAAAAUUGUGACCCAUCAUGUGCUGCACAUUCAACUUUUGACGUUUUUACUCGUGUGUUUCACAUUCAACUUUGACUUGGACUUAUUUAGGUUGCAAUUUUCUAACGUGAGUGGUGGACACUUACUGUAAAGUAUUCAAUAAACAUUGGUAAUUGGAAUUUUAUUCCAAGCUUAUAUAAUAAUAAAAAAAUGUUAUGUUAUUUUUAUUAAAAUUAUUGUUCAAAAAUCAUAAUUAUUCCUUACAGUCAACUUUUAUUUCAUACUUUUCAUAUAUAUUUUGUACGGUGAACUUUGGGUUCACACUUUUUUUUUUCUACGGCACCAAACAAGGCUUUGUUAGAUUCAACAGUUGCACUAAUUGUUUAGUAGUGAAACUCGUGCAUCAACAUGCAAGUUUGUGAACUGUGCUUUUGAAUGGUAAAGGCUAAUAUAUUCGACUUUUGGGAUUAAAGUUGGAUCUUGAAAGUAAGCAGCUUUAGAUCCUCUUUUAAGUAGGUCUUAUCCUAAUAGAUCCUAUAAAUCCUUUGAAACACCAUUUAAAUUAUAAUUAAUUGAUUUGUCUUUCAAAUUUGAAACUUCACAGUUUGCCUAACCAUGGCGUAGGUACCAAGCAAGAAGAUCAAUCAAGAAUCUACUGCUCAGAUAAGAUAAUAUAAAACAAAAAAUAGUCUAAAGCAAAUACUUGCCUUGUUCUAGUAACCACUAUAAAUUAAGGGGAUAAUAUUUCAUUACGCAUUACAUAAAUGAAUGAAAACAAUAAUCAGAAUUUGUUAUAUUUUGAACUCACCGAAGAACCAGCGUUAUUGUUUUGUUAUUUCUUUUCUUUCUGCAGUAAGAAACAAUGGGGGACCUUCACGGAGAAUGGGCGGGGAUGCCAAACAUAGACUUGAUACACAUUCAGGAGCGUCCGCUGGUUUCACUAGCUUUCAGCAAGCAAAAUAAAUAGCUCUUCGUCAGUAAUUGCUCCCAUCUCCAUUGCCCUUUCUAGCGAACUUAGACCUCCACCAUCCUUAAUUGAUGGACGUGCACCUCUGUACAGAAUACAAGUCAGAUUUAGAGUUAUAAAUAAAUAAAUAACAUGCAAAGAAAGAUUUAGAACGAAGAAUGCAGUUGGUUGAUUGAUUGAUUUGAUUACAGGAGAUGGGAAAAAUAGCAAGCUUUUACCUUCUAAGUAGGAACUUCGCGAAAGUGUAAUUCUUUGAGGAGAUGCAAUGGUGCAAGGGAGUCCUUCCAUGGAAGUCACGCAUAUUUAUAUCAGCACCAAAUUGUAUCAGAAGUUCAAGCAUCACAAGGUUGCCACACUGACAUGCAAGGUGCAAUAAUGAACCACCUUGAAGACAAUUCCCAGGAUCAUUGGAAUCCUUGAUUCUCUGACAACCAGCUGGACCAUUAUUUUCUUCCUUUUUCACUUUGUGAAAAUCAAUUUCUGAGUAUUGUGUAUUAUCAACAUGGUGAUACGAAUCAACACCAACCACAUCAUCAAAGGUGGUAUUGAUGAUAUUUGCAUCCGAUGUCACAAUAAGGCGGUAUACUUCUUGCAAAUUCUGGGUUUUAACUGCUUCCCAAAUGCUUGUGGUGCGAGACUUAGCAUCAGAUGUAUCUCUAAUGACUAGCAAUUUCUCCACAUACUGGGCCAGGACAACAAAAAAGCUUUGAAUUUCAGGUUACAACUAAUCCAGUGAAAUUAAUAUUUACCUUGUAGCAGGAUGACUAUUUGACAAGAAAAAGCAUUAAAAUUUCACUUUUGUGUUUAUUAUGAUCGGUGAUGUGGAUUCGCGGACCAAUUUUUGUAAUUCAUUUGGUUUGUUUCUCACUAAAAAGUCCUGGACAUACUAUGGCCAGAUAAUAAAACCAGUGAGCCAAGCAGUGGUUUUACAGAACAGCAGUUCAUUCCCUAUCUAUUGGUUGCACAUGGAUGUAGAAACAUAAAUUGAAUAUCUGAUAAUGUUGCAAAUUCUACUACUUAAAUCUACAAACUACAAGAAUCCUUUCUAAUAGCAAAUAGAAAGACUCGAAAAUCUAAUUAUCAAUGCAUUCAGAAGACUCAAUCAGAAGGAGAUAGCAUCCAACACAGAAUUGAUAGAAACAAUAUGACCACAGAAAAAAUAAUUGCUUAUGGAAAUCACUGAUUGCUUAAAGCUCACAUGCCUUCAAGAUUCCAGAAGAAAUUUCAGUACUAAUGUCAAGUGUAACAUAAAUUCCACAAAACUAAAAUGGAUGAAAAGAAAAAACCUGUGUACCUUCGCAUUAAUGUAUUGCUCCUUGUAAUGAAAAACAUCUUUGGAGCAAGGUUUCCUAACUGAUGGAAUGGUAGUAUUUGAUUUGUCCACUCUGCACAGGAUUACAAUCAAGUGGAAUUAUGAAGCAAAAGCAUCAUAAGAUUACAUAAAAUUUAACAUUCACAACUCUGUUUGCAAGUAAACAUGCUUAAGCCAAACUUAAUAACAGAAGUUCCAUAUUGUAUCCAACUAAAAAUAUUCUUACUCUCGAUCCUUGAGCAGAAGCAAUCCCUCCCAUAUGGAGUUGCAAUAUGCAUUACCCAAAGAACCAAAUAGAUCCAAGAUUGUAGGUUCCCAGACCUUGACGUCCAACGUAAGAGAUCUCACCUGCAAUGUAUACAAUUGAGGCUCCGACAAUGGAAUGGUUAUCAUGAUAUGAUAAAAAUAGAUGUGUAAAUGAGGAUCAACACAGAUUUUUUUCGAAGAAGACACCAUACUUUCUUCUUUUUCCUUUUUUUUCCAUUAAAAAACUAGAAAUUUUAAUAAAAUGAAGAGAAUUAGAAAGAAGUAAAAAGCAUAAUGAAAAAGAUUAAAACAAGUUAACAACAGGAGAAAGGAAAAAAGUAAAAAAGAAAAGCUAUGAUAAUCAUUGAACAACAGCUUACUCAAUUUUCUUGAAUAAAAAAUAAAAAAAAAAUUCUUAAAUUUAUUGGAAACAGAUGCCGAUAGAAUUGAUCUUAUAAGACUACAACUAGAAGGUUGCAACUAACCAAUCAAGUGAAAAUUAGAGCAAUAGUUUACAUCAUGGAAGGUGUCAGCACUGAAGCACCACACAUGACAAUCUUAGCUGUAUCUAGAAAAAUCUUCAGGUAGAAACUUUGUAUUAGCUACUAAACUAGUCAUCUGCAUGCGGAGCUUCUUGAUUCUGUUAACAAUUCAAACACUUGCAGAACUAAAUUCUCAUGAGCUUUAAGCGCUCCACUUUUUAAAUUUUUCACACCUUUGAUAUAUGAACGCCAAGAUUCCGGUGAACACCAGAGCAUUCAAUGCACAGCAAUAUGCCAAGAUUAAGUGACGCCCAAUCGGGAUCAGGAGCACUACACUCUGCACAAAGAUCAUUUCCAGGAAUUUGCCUAAGGAUUGCAGAAACACUAUCAGAUUUAUUGGCUUUCACUUCAUCCUCUAGACUGCAAUGACUACUAAGUGAUGGAACAUCACUAGUACUGAAGGGAUCAUUUCCGUCAAUAUGUUUUGCACUAGGACGUAACUGCAAAGAUGCAAAUAAUUCUUAUGAGCAAGAGUUUCAACUCUUGUAUUCGCAAUUUAAUGUUAUUCAAAAGAAAACAGAAAGCGAGAGAGAGAGAGAGAGAGAAGUAUUGGAGGGAUUCAACCUGUUGCAACAAGUCAGAAUUCAAAAGAGAUGCAAUAACACCAGUUAUCUUGCUGGUCCAGUCCAUCCUGUCUGCUUCUGUUUCAGCCUAAAAAAAUAGCAGCCUAAAAGUUGGCAUAAUGAUUCAUAAAAUGCCUCAGACAUUUUGCAAUUUUUUCAAGGGGAAAAAAAUGUUUAACAUAGAAAAUGGAAUAUAUUUCUUUAUCCAUAUGUAAAACCACCAAGUCCAAGUUUCUGAGGAACAAUGCUCAACUCUUGGUUGAAAGAGACCAUUAUUUUGCAAUAAAAUAAAAAAGAAUAUUGAAAUUACAGCCCAUCAUAUGUGAAGGUUCAGCUUUGUACCAACAUAUCACCAAGUUUUUAUACCAACAUAAACUUGAAGCAUCAGCCAGAAUUUUAAAUCAAAUCCACUAGAACAAUAGUCAAAGCCAUUCCAAAUGUUUCCAAAUUGUUAGGCCAAUUUCCUCACAUUUCUAAAGGUCUUCAAUUUUGGGCUUUCAGGAAUGGACAAGGUUAAAUGCUCAAUGUUUGGAGGUUACAUGCUUUACUACAGGAGUCUGUGCUGUUUGGCCUAGAGACAGAAUUAGAUUGUCCAAUCUCAAGUAGUUCAAAUUAGAGUUUUGCCAAGUUCUUUUAACCAUGGCGUAAGCAGACUCAACGAUACAGCAGCAUAAUUGAAUGUCCCAAACCCAGCCAAAUAAAUCACCUGCAAUGUGUAAGUUUUCACAGGAGAAAUUAUCCUGAAGCAGAGUCGUAGAUCUGUAUCCUCUCCAUCCAUUUUUAUUGCUGAAGUACGAAGAUCAACAGUACGGCAAUUCAGGCUGUCUUCAUUGAAUGAAGAUGACCUAUAGUGCCUUGAACGGAAUCUACUAAAUACGCCACCAUUGUGAUCAGCUGAACCAGCAUAAUGAUGGUGAGAACCCUAGAAAAGAAGAGAUAAGAAGAAAUUAGUUUAUCAUGAUUAUUCACUGAAAAUAUCAAUAUACAAACGAGGAGGGGAGAAGAAGAGAGAAAUGAAAUAGUCAGACAAAUACACAUCGGAACAAACAUUGGCAUAGAAUAAAAAUGUUGCAUUUAUCUCCAAACUAGAUAUCCAUGAUUAAUGUAUCUUCUUAUUAAGGGUAUGUCUUCAGUUCUACACAACCCUCAAAACAAGGUAACACAUAAAAUAUUCCAAUGCAGUACAAGAAAAGCUCCUUCCUACCAAUGUAUGCUAGAAGUCAGCUAGGAGAGACAUGCCAGGCCUUAAGGAAUAAUUGAAGCCAUGCCCAAUAAAAAUAGAAUCAACAUAGAUGAUCUCAGUCAAGGGAGGUUCUCUAGUGAGUUAUGUAUAGGAAGAAUGAAGAGUCAGCUGACGAUAUCUUCCUCCACUAUUCCAUAGCAUCUUGUUGAUGGACCAAGGUGUGUAAGGAAGCUGGAAUUUCUGGGUUGUUCCUAGUUCUUGCAGCUCCUUGAUAAUGAUAAUGUUUUUGCUUUUGGGAAGGAAAGAAAGCUCAGGUUCUGGCAACGUGCUGCUCUAGCUCUCUUUUGGGUUGUCUGACAAGAAAGGAAAUGCUGCAUUUUUUAAGAUAAGAGAGAAGAUGAAGUCUCUUGUUUGUGUAACAAAGUUUGUUUUUUCUCAUUCCUUUGGGCUUCUGUUGCAAAAGAGUUCAUAGGCACUUCUUUCUUCUUUAGCAAUCUUAGUAGGGAAGGGGUUUUGAGACAAAUCAAUAGAAAAGUUUUUUUAGCAUGGGUUAGGGUCAGUUUUUGAAUUUCAACACACAAGAAGUUUCUGAAUUUUCUGCAGUUUUUGUGUAGAUAUCCCCUAUCAGGUUUCUGUGGUGGACUUCUGGUCCAUUUUGUACUUUACACCAUUAAUAUACUUGCUUUUCUAUUUCAAAUAAGAAAAUGGUUAAAUUUAAUGAGAAUUGCUAUAUAGCCACAAACUCUUAGUAAAAAGUAAUGCGACAUAAUAGUACAGGUUGGAUGAAAACAUAAAAUAUAAUGAAACUAAAUCAUAUGGGUCAUAAGGCAUUUUCACCCAACCAAUACUGAUAUGCCACAUCAAUUUGAACCGAAUAGUUUGCAGAAAAGUUUGUGCCUCUAGCAUUACUUAACUUUAAUACUAUGUCUCUUUCUAACCUUGCAUAAUUGAUCUUUUCUUGUCAACAAUAAACAUAGCAAUUUUCUAAUUAACAUCUUUAAUUUAUUAAUUACAACAUAAUAAGUUAAAAGGAAUAGUGAAAGAAGCAAGGUAAGGCAAAUUUUUUCAUUUUUUUUAAAGAGAAAAACAAGGUAGGGGUGGGCAAAGCCCAAAUUGACUUUUUAGCCCCUACCUCCCACAAGAUUCGAACUCGGAUGGCCAACCAAAGAAAACUGCUUGAAAACCACUCGGUAAAGUCUCUAGGGGCAGCAAGGUAAGAUGCAUUGGGAAAGAUAAGUCACAAAAUAGUGGGACAAUAUAACAUACCAUAGAUUUUAUACCCUUAUUUCGGUAGUAAUACAAAGUCCCUUGACUAUUGAGUACAAAGAACCUCCUCUUCCAAUCUCCCCUCAAAUUUGAGGAACGCUUUAAGAGAUACCCUUGUUUGAUUGUCUGGACCUAUACGACAAAAAGAACUAUAAUAUUAUAUUUCCUAGAAGCACUCAGUAAUGCCAUAGAAAUGAUGCUAGUUCAAACUAGAUAUUCAUCUCAAAGAGAUUUACAUGGAGAAAGCAUGCAAAAGCCUGAGAAACGUUGCUAUCACAGCACAAAGAGAUAUGCAAACCUAAUAACUUACUUCCCCUGUGGCACUAGACCGCAUAACUGCUUCUAUGUUCUUGUAAGAGACCGUACCACCAACAUGAAUGCCAUCAGCACUUACUGAAUGCUCCACGUCAACUGGAACUCCCAAGUUGUCCAACUCUGCUUGGGUCCUAAAUUCCUGAAUCCGUUUUGCAAGUUUAUCUUGUUCAACAUUAGCCAAUUCUUUGGAUUGUUGUGCAUAAGUCAACACCUGUAACAGGAAAAGAAAGAAGCUCAUUCCAAAACUAGAACAAUAUCUUCCCAAGGAAAGAUAAGUUUAUGUUGAGAUCAAGCUGAUAAAAUAAUUUUGUAAAUUGAUUAAUACAAAUGCAUACGAAGACACAUCUGUGCAUGACUCCUAGUUUGUUCAAGGCAUCAGUUUCUCACUACACAGACUGAUUGUUGCAUCAUAUAACUCAAUCCCAAACUUCUAAAUCGUUUUGAAAUUAAAUGGAGUUUCCAAAAAUUAAACUAGCAUUAAAUCUUUAUCUUCAUUUUCCCACUUUGUGCAACAUCCAAUAAAAAAUGGUUAAUGAAAUUUUUUUCAAAUCACCAUAUGAGUUCCGUAAACCGAUUUCCAGUUCUAGAGUUUGUAUAUUCUAUACUAGUAUUUCUUGAAACCUCUAGUUGUUUCCAUUUGACCACUAAUUGAACUGAACUUCACUUUGUUUAUCUACAAAAAUCUUAACAUCUACAGACACCCAUGUUGUGCUUAAAGGUCAUACACUAAGCCCAGAUUGCAGUAUCCUGAAGACCAACAUAGAACCAGCCACAUCUUACGAACGCUACCCAAUGUAACAUUUAAUUCAAAAGUUUUGAAUUCAUCCAUUGACACAACUGUAGCAUCUUUAGUGUUAGAAAGUUAUAUGCAAACGAUUGCAAAGACAGUUGACAUGGUAAUGAUGGCCGAAAACCUUUAUAGAAACUUGAAAAUUUAGAACUGACAUUGAGCAAAGGAGCAAGUCUAUUUUAGAUUGAAAUUUGAGUUGGUUAGACAAUGCAAGCAUCCUAUUUAGCGGGGGAAGAUUAAAAGCAAAGGUUCCCACCCUAUCUGAAAUAAAUCUAGUGCUAAAUAGUUAAUACCCCGCAUACAGGGUGUGAACUAUUACAUAUGUAGGUUCCUAUUUAGAAUAAAAUUAUAAGUACACCAGCUCCAAAUCUUAUUGUGCACUCCAGAUAAUCUUAAGCGUAUAUCCCAUAUGCCAUCAGUAAAUGUGCCACACACAAUACAAAGCAUGUCAGACACCUCCAUUGCUGGAUGAUAAGAAAGGAGUCUGCAACAAUUAGUUUGAAAUUUUGAGGGAAAAAGAAAAGAACUAGGUAGUCAGAAAGGAAAGGAACCCUCAAGAUGGUUUUCUAGAUGAUGUCACUUAAUCUGAAUUAAUAUUAUAUCAUGCAAACAAUAAAUUCAGGGCUUGUUAAUGAUUUACUCCCAACAAUUCCACUGAGUAUCCCCAUCUACAAUAUAUUAAACUGAUUGAAAAUAAAGCGAGCCCUGGAUAGAAACUUUGUUUACUCCUCUCAAGAUAGUUUCUUUUCAAGAUGUUCUCUUAAUUGUAAAACCUUGGAGUUGUUUUCAGGGCUAGAGGAAAAUUUGUUCGCCUUUUGUAAAUCUUUCUUCUUUCAAUACAAUCUUCUUAGCUUUUAUUCAUAUAUAUAUAUAUAUAGAGUAAGGCACUGUUUUACCUGGUGGACAUAUGGCUCUAUUUUGCUCAACAAGUCAAAUCCCUACAACAUAAAGAAAUAAGUUCAUCUCUGCACACUGAAUAAACAGGCAAACACAUCAAGAUGUUAAUUUAAUAGAAAAUGAAAAAGAAGAGCAGACCAGCUUGAAAUAUCUCAAAUGCACAUCCAUAAUUGCACUUAUAGAUUCCAAGAACUCAUACUUCUUUUUCGCUUCGAUAUUUGUGAGUGCGCUAACCUGCAUUCCUUAAAGCCAAAGGGAGAAGGUCAUUAGAAGCAAAAGGAUUGAAGAGAGACUUACUUAGCAGAAAGCAAAGAAGAUUUGAAAAUGCAGUGCACAUACUAAAUUAAAACGGCUUUUCUCAAAUGCUGACUUUGAGUUCUGUAGAUCCUGUCACCACAAACAACAAACGAUAAUUCCUAGUUUCAGCAUCAAGGCUGUCUCAGAGUCGAGAUGGACGAAUAAGUCAAAACAGAAAAGAAUCCGCAAUUUCAUGCAUGAAGAAAUAUGGCUAAAAGGCUAAACCAUGAUAUACAUUGACAAUAUAAAAUAAAUAAAUAAAUAAAAUUAGAUGCUGUUACUAAAUUAUGAUGAACGGAGAAAAACGGAUCCAUCAUUUUUAGACAAAUAAAGCAUCCACCAAGGCAAUUUCAGAAAGUCAAGAUGUGGGAACUUGCUACAUAUGUUCACAAAUCUAAGUCAAAUGUUUAAUAUCUAUAAUAUUUUAUAUUUUCUCCAAUUAAGUAUUCUCAAAAUCUUUUGUUCUCCUUUUCUUUCUUCUGUCUUCUGAAAGACCUUUGGUUGAAUUUGUACUUUGAUUUUUGUUUCAACAGAGACAAAUUCUGAAAUCCUUGAAAGACCCAAAUCCAGUGAGUAGUUUCAUACUACUAAACCAUCCAUUCUGAUAUUAUUUCUAAACUAGAAGAUCAAUACAUUAGAUGUGACCAUUAUCUAAGUCAGUCUCUUAGAAAAUUGUCUUUCCCUUAAAGUGAAUAGAAUAUAUUCUAACUUGAUUUGCCGUCAAACUUAACUACUAGACCAACAACUAACAAUAUGGUUUCCUCACCAAAGCUUUUGUAUCUCCACUGGUUUAGAUGAUUAUUUCCUUGGCUAUGUACAUUUUCUUAAUCAGUCUCUUAGAAAAUUACCUACCCCUCCAGUCAAGAAAAUGUACACUCACUUGAUUUAUUUUUUGAAGAAAAGAAAUGAGGUUUAAUUUGCAAUAAAAAAGAAUAAGGGGGGUUGGUGGCGGUGGCGGGGGCGGCAUGGGAGACAUAUCUCUCCAACUGAGCAAAGCAUAAUAGAAGCAAAUGACUGCACAAUUAUAAAGAACGUACCUCUUCUAGUUCUGCAACAAUGUCAUCUCGUGUAUUCCUUUUCAAAGACACAAACUUUUCACGUGCCUGGAAAAGAAUAAUUUUUAACAGCAUGAAAAACUUCUCAAACAAUCACAAAAGGGAUAUGCUACAGUAAUAGGCUCCCAAAAUUAAGAACACAAAAUAGGUUGUUUAAUAUAACAAUAAUGGAUUCAACAUUUUAGUUUUCCAUCUCAAUUUAUUACCAAACUCUUGUGCAAGAAUACAUCUUUACUGGUCGAGUUGAUGCAGAACAAAGAUGAAGAUUACUUAGAUUUUUAGGGUUUUGUAAUUAUUAUCUACUUAAAACUCAGUAGUCUUCUUAGCUAAGGAGUUUAUAUUUGUCAUGUUCACAAGUAGAUUUACUGUUUUAUUUAGGGUUUGACCACUAUAAACAGCGCCUAGGUCUUCAUUGUCAUCAAACGUUGAUGAUUAUUGAAUGCAAUACAAUGAUUUCUACCGUAUAAUCUGUGUUGUUUCACCCUUUUUGUCUACUUCUCUCCUUUUUUCUAUUUUUCUAUCUUUUCUAACUGUGUUAUCCUUGUGGACAGCCCAUCCUAUAUCACUAGCAGUUGCAAUAAAAUGUGAGAUAAAAAUAUAGUCAAAAGUCAUCAUCAAUUGUGGAAAUGAAAAAUAAUUGGUCAUCCCACUAGAUUUUUUUCACAAUAUGGUAAUUGCAUAAAGUGAGCAUACACAAUGUAGACAAAAGAUAUCUUUUCCACUUUUAAUAUUCUGUUCUUCUUUUCCUUCACCACCACAACCACCUCAGCCCCCCCCCCCCCCCCAACAUUAGGAUAUAAAAUUGUACUGAGUGAAAAGAAAAAACUAAAAGUAAAAAGAAAUUAUUAAAUUUCCACUAAGACACCAAAGAUUUUUUUUUCUCUAACAAUCCAGUCAGGUUGGGGCUGUAGUCAGAAAAUCCAGAGCACUAAAUGAUUCUGGGCAAAUUCCAAAAACCUCUUCAUCCAGUAAUGAACAUGACUGGUCAUCAUAUUGGAUUUUGUUACCUGCCAUACUAAUAAAUAAAUAACUAAAUAAAAAAAUCAUCAGUUGCCAUGAAUGUCACACAGUUAGUUUUCACUUGUUGAUUGUUUAUAAAGCAAUCCUUACCGUCGUCGUUAAUGCAAUAAAUUUUCUACUACACCUCUAUUGAAUAUCUAUGCGAUCAUGUGCAUGAAGAUACAUGUAUAUGUAGUGAAAAAAAUCAAUGAAAUUUAAUUAUCCAACCACAAAAUGAAAAGGAUUAUAUUUUUACUAAAAAUAUUGCCCUAGAAAUACCUGAUCAUAAGCAUGUAUAGAUUUGUCAAAGCGCCGACGGGAUUCCUGCAAAAGGUCAGAAUAUAAGGGACAUAAAACAAGUCACAAGGUGCUGGAUGCUCCAGCUGAUAUUCUGUGCCUAAUUGUUACAUCCCUAAUUUCCAAUGUUGUAAUAGUUGGCCGAUAACUUUCUAUGACUGAUAGCAAUUGUUUACAUAAAAGGAGGAUUCUUUCAUAAAAUAGUUUGUAUCCUCUAUUAUAAAUUGUGUCUUCUACCAGAAAAUUUUACUUGAGAGAUAUAUUUUCUUUUCCUACACGUGGGGCUUCUCUUUUUUACCGUCCAUCGAGCAUUGUCAUUUGAUCAUAUUUUAUUAACUCUCAUUUACCUUAUGUAUCAGAAGGCAGGUUCUUCUUAAUGAAAAAUUAGAUACAUAUACUUAGGUCACGGAAUAGGCAUGUUACUUCCUAUUACAUUUUUAAGAUAGGAUUUUGAUUAUCAUGAAACUCAAAAGCUAUUUCUGAAUUUAAUUUAAGGCAGCAUAGCACAAUAUUUGAUUAAAAGGCAUCCAAAUGCCAGUAGCCAUAAUCAUUGACAUUGCAGGUAUAUCCCCAAGGGGUACAUCCCACAAUAGUUGAUUUGAUAUAAGAUCUACCUUUGCAUCAUGCAGAUCAACAGUCAAAAAUUCCGUCAGCCGAUUAAUUAACACAUGCUCAACCUGCAACAUACAUUUCUCAGAACUCAGUUACAACAUAAAAUAGACUAAAGAAUCAUGUAUAACAGCAACGGUAAAAGGCCUCUUUUGAGAUCGUAGUUAGGCAAUUGUUAUAUAAAUAAGCAUAUAUUAAAGUUUUUUUUUUUUUGUGUGUUCAGUGGCAUCCUCAUGAGUGAUGAUGUCAUACACGCGCGCAUAUAUAUGCACGUAUGUACGUUUGUAUGUAUGUAUACUUUCAAGAAUUAGCUUCACUUCUUUGAUGUUAAUGUAAAGGUCCAGGCAUGAUUUUUCAGCCCCUUUGCAUCUUCAUAAUGUCCUUCAUCCAAUUCUUAAUGAGGUGGAAAUGGAAAUGAAUUUAAGUAUAAUUGGACAGAUUAGAAUGCUUUGGAUCCCCACCCACCCAUCCUGGUGAUUUAGGGAUUGGAAGGCUUGCAUCUUUCAAUUAGGUUAAACGUAAAACAUGAUUGUUGUGGUUUGGGGUGGAAGUAAAAGAAAGCACAGAAAAUAAGCAAUGCAAACGACAAAAUUUUGAGUGCAACAUUAGCAGUGAAAGCCUGUUAACAAAGUUCCACAAGAACAAAACCUAGGCAGUUUGGAUGAGUCAGAGAUACAAAAAGCAUAAAAGAGUUGUAUGCCUCAUGCUCAUUGUCCAAUAUCAUUAAAGAAAAAAAUCUUUCAUUAGACACCAAUUUGAGCACUCACUUGGGACCGAAGAAGCUCUUUAUAUGUAGCAAGCUCACGAAAUGCAUUAAUGAACUUGGAGAUAACCGGACCUGAGACAGGGAACCACAUAAGAAGCCAACUAUAUUCAAACAUAACUAGUUACUUAGCUUUCCACAGUACUUGGAAACGGAACCCUCCAUACUAUUCUAGAUUAAACAAUCAACAAAAUGCAAUGCCAGUUCUCAUAACUAUACCUCCAAUUGAAACACUGACAGGAUCAUCAUGUCCACCGCCAAAAGCUUCUAAUGCAUCUGCGAAAGCACUGUCACCGCUACACGCUACUCCAAGAGCUUCCCUAUAAAAACAAACAAACAAACGAAAAAUUUUAAUAAAUUGGUAAGCAUUUCCCUAGCAAAAACACGGCGAGUGAGUGACAUACGUAAACUUCUUGCAGCCUUUAUACAGUCUUUGGCAACGAUCUUUUAACUCCUCAGCUGACUCUUCCAUAGAAAAUAACUGCCACAACAACGGGAAAAAAAGUUCAGAUUGAACAGAGAUCAAGACGAAAUUGAAGCGAAUCCAAUCUGACGUUACCUGCUUUUGAAACAUUGGGGAAUCCUCGAGCUUGAUAAACGCAGACAUUGUGAUUUCAGUUUUCAGAUCGAGGGAGAGGGAUGAAGCAGAGGGUAUUUUAGUAAUUUUUUAUACAAAAAAUGUUGCGGUGGAUCAGAUGUUGUUGGAGCGAAAGCUUGAGACAGGAAACGGAGAUAGAGACAGCAGCAAGCAUCAAAAUCAAAUAAUAAAGAGUGAGCUAAAGCUGAGCUCCCCUGCCGUUGGCCAAACGGACAGAAUGGUAAUUUUGACUUUCUGUAGGAGGACUGAUUGCCGUGGAUUCCACCACCUUCAGACGAUAUGAGCUCGUCAUCUAGACUACUACAAGCUGGAAGGGAUUGUCGCUGUUGCUGUCGUUCUGACUGCUAUUUUGAACAAAUGGUUUGAGAUAUAACCCUCAUUUUAUCUUAUUGACAAAUACUGGCCGGACUUUUUGAGAAUAAUAAAAAAUCCCCUCAUUGAAUGAACUUUUAGCUUUGGGGUGAUUCAUGGAUGUUUCUCAAAUCUAUGUUGCUUGGAGAAUAAAUAAAAGUACAAGACGAUCACAUGAUAAUUCUUAAUUAAUAAAGGAAGAAGCAAUCGGGAAUAUAUCAAUACACCACCCAACUUUUAUGGAAAGUUCAAUUUAACUACUAAGGGAUAAAACAUUUGAUCCACCCACGUUUUCCCGUCCUGUAUUAAUUUAUCAUUAAAAUAAUACGUUGAUGUCAACGAGGCAUUCGGGUAAUUUCAAAUAACGGUAAAUAGUAGAUAUUGUAGAUUCUCUUCCAAACUCAGGCCCAAGCUCAAGUUCUCUAAGGAGAUCCAGGUCCUCAAAAAAUCUGGCCAAGCAUUGGAUGGCUCAGGCUGAACCCAGCCGCCAUGGGCCCAGCAUGAGCCCAAGCCCUCUUCUUUUAAAUAAACAGAAUUAUUUGUUUUAAAAAAAAUAUAAACUGUUCCAUGAAUAGAAAAUUUCCCAAAAUUAAUUAAUUUCGUAUUUGUCUUUUUUACAUGAUUUUCAUUGAUUAUAUCACACUGAUAACAAAAAUAGGAUUUUAUGAGGAUAUUAAAGGGGUGCGACAAGCAUUAAUCUCCUUUAUUCUUAAUAGAAAACCUUCGCCCAAAUGACUACUUUACCCACCACAAGCACGCAACAUUGUGAAACUUGAAAGUAAAAAUACUAAAAUCGUUAACUUCUUAUAUGGUCCAGCCAUAACGAAUAGAUUCCAAGGUAGAUCAAAAUUGUUCACUUCAUAUUGGAGGUUUAUUUAUUAAUGGUGUUAUUUUUCUACCUAUUCAUGUCGUAUGUCAUUUUCUUAACUGGUUAAAUCGUGAAACCUUAUAGAAAGGAACUCAUGCUGUACAAUUUUUCUUAGCAUGAAAUGUAGAAAAGAAAUUGGUUUUUCAUUCAUUAUAUCUCGAGACAUUAGACCAAAAAAAAAAAAAAAACCCUAAAGAAUAUCCAUUUUUAUUAUUUGGAGUAACACGAUUUAAAGUCCUUAUCAUAAAAAGAAACAUAAUUUAGGGUAAUGACUUAGAGAUAUUUGAUUAAGUGUUUGUUUAUUAUAAUUUAUUUAAUAGUUACAUAACUUAUUUAAUCUCAUAAGUUCUUUUCAUUUUUUUGUUGUUGUUGUUUUUUUAGUAGAACUUUUGAAAAUUAAAUAAGUUAUUUUACCUCUAAUAGUAAAAACUCAAAUUUUGAGCUUUUGUGAGUAAGAGUUGAAAAGUUUUUUUUAAAUAUUAAAAUAUUUAAAAUAUCAUUUACUUGUUUCAUAAUCUUAUUUCAUUCAUUUCAUAGCAUAACUCUCAAUAACUUCCUUAUUAAAGUAAUUUAUAAUUUUUAAUAAAAACUUUCAUUGACAACUAAACAACAAAUUUUUUAUUUUUUAUUUUGUGAAAGCUCUACUAACAAAAAUUCUACUUAAAUAAGCUCUAUGUGAAAAUUUGUACCAAACGUAGCCGAACUAAAUGCAACCAACUUACCGAAGAGGGCUUAUUACCUUUUUAAACAAAAAAUUUAUUAAAGCAGAAGAAUAAACCUCUAAAGUUUGGGGAAAAAAAACAGGAAAAAGAGAAAUGCAAGAGCAAGGGAUAGUGGGACACAAACAAGCACGUAUUACCUUUAAAAAUAUAUAUAUUAAAAGAGAAGCAUACAAAUUAAGUAAUUAAGGUUCUAUUUGAUAUUAAAAUAGGUAGCUAUAAUUUAAAAAUUAUAGUAUUAAGGUAUUUGGUAAAUAUUAGUUAUUGUUGCUUAAAAGUUAAAUUGAUUUGAUCUACCACUUAUAUGAUAAAAAUUUAUAAUAUCUUUACUAUUUUUAUUAACAUCAUUAUUUUAAAGUUAUAUUUACUACAUGAUAUUAACUUAUAUUUUAUCGUUAUUUUUUUUUUCACAACGAUUGCAGAUUGCAGUACUUCAAUAUCAAAUAGAACCUAACUGAGGCAGCAACUAGACUAUGACGACUUUUUUUCUAUUAUUUUUUUUAAAAUUUAUGUACUAAGCUUUGUAUAAUGAUAUUUAAUUAACAACUAAAAUUAAAGCUUAAAGAGAUAGCACCAUACUACCAACAAUAGUAUUACAUUUCUACUAGUAAAUAUUUAUUUUUAUAAAAUUUAAUGAAAUAAAAAAAAUAAAUAGGAAAAAAAAAAAAAACAACUGCCAAGUUACCAAACACGCUAUCAGCUACUAAUACAAAAUUUAUAUGCCAACAAACAUGGCAUUAUCUCGUGAUAUGUUUAUUAAUUAUUCAGUUUUCUUAUUUCUUAUCUCUAAAUGGUGAAUUUAUAUUGAUACUAUAUCAAUUAAAAUACAAGUUUUGAAUCCAAUUUUCUAUAAAUGUAUUAGCUCACUCUAUGAUUAAAACAAAAACAAAAGAAAGUUAUAAAUCUUCGACCCUUUCUUGGAAGGACAAAAAUAAUGCAUUAGGGAUUGUUGUGAAUAAAUUAUCGAAUAAAAAACAGUAAAAUAGAAUUAAAAAUCUUAUAUAUUAUGCUUAAUCACGGGACUCAAUUGAUCAACCUUCACAUAUAUAAUGACAUAAACCGACAAAAUGCCACAGCAUAAAAUAAACAACAUUGUGAGAUCAUCCAUAUAUAAAAACAUAUCGCUAUAUUGUCCACAUCAAAUUUUUUUUUUUCCCUAUCUAUAUUGAUGUGAUGACACAAUAAUAUAAUUUGUCUUCAUUUCCAUUUUUGUUUGAACCCAUAAAUAUUUGAUGUGAUGGUGAUGACACAAAUAAUAAUAUUAUCCUGAGAAAGCAAAACGAAUCCGUGAAGAAAUAUCAUUGAGAGGGUACUGUUAGAUUGCAAAUUGACAAGCGAACGAAUUAAUAAUGAAUGAAUGAAACCAAAGUUUCUUGUGCUUGACUUGCCAGACCAUGUCGCCUGUAACUGACAAACUCUGCACUUUUUUUUAAUCUUUUUUGCAUUCUUUGUAUCAACAUGCAAUUUUUAUACGCAAAUGUUCCCUUUCAACUUGUUUGAUUCGGAGAAAUUGCAAUGAAAAAACCCAAUAACCCAUAAGGAAUAUAAUAAGAUGGACCUGUGAUACUAUUAAAUUCCACGUACAUACUAACAUACAUGGUAACCCCCGCAAAGCUUCCAAUGUCACAGUUGAUAAUUGAAUGAAUUCAACCCAAGUAUUUAGUAAUAUUAUAAUUUUUUUUAAAAAAAUCUAUUUAGAAUGAAAGAGUCUCACGUCACCUGGUUAGAAAAAAAAGUACCGAGUUAUAUACAUAAAAUUGCUUAAUAUAUAGUAAAAUCACAAGGGUUAAGACUAAAUCGGACAAUAUAAUAGGUGGUAUGAUGAUGCCAUGAAACUUAGAUUAAAAUUCUACUCCAAAGGAGGGGUCUAUUUCUAAAUUAGGAAAAAUUAUACUCCUACGAUAGAUACAAACGAACUAGGAGGCUACAAGCUGCUCACUUGAAGUUACAAGUUACAAAUUCAACUUCACCCAUGGCAUAUAAUUAACUAGUAACAGUAUGACCUAGCAGUGAAUAUAAUAAUGGUUUGUUGUACUUGUAUGUAUAUGUGUCAUAAAUUAUUUAUUUUGUGCGAUUGUUUCAUUGUUUGUCCUAUUUAUAAGCAUGUUCUUGUAGUUGGUUCUUGCCUCGUGCCAGCACAUCAUACGCCAUUGAGUGUUCGUUUCUCUAAAAGAAAGCGAGAGAAAAAAACAGAUUUCCUUGGUUUCAUUCUAUGCAAAUUAAGCAGCAAUGUCUCAGCUCUGUGAUAUCCAAAUCCAUGUCAAUGGUCACCAAACAUUCUUUCUCAAUGAGGUAAUCAAAAGGUUCCUGAAAGGAAAGAAAAGCCAUAGUUUGACCCACUUCACUAUUCAUUUACUUUUCUUUUUUUCUUUUUUGCAGCAAACUAUCACAAAAUAUUCGGAAAGGCUGAAGAAGAUCAUCAAACAAGAAAGCAGAAGAGUCAUUGAAAUCAAAGGAUUCCCUGGUGGCCCAACUGGGUUUGAGCUGGUUUCAAGAUUCUGUUACAACAAUGGAAGAAUCAAAAUCACAGUGUCUAAUGUGUCGCUCCUCCAUUGUUGCUCAAUCUUUCUUGGUAUGACUGAUACGGUAUCAUCACCAAACAAUCUCUUGCAGCAGACAGAGUCGUUUCUUGAAGGAAUGUUUUAUUGGUCAUGGAGUGACAUAAUUGCUAGUCUCAAGAGUUGUGAAUCAAUCUUUAAAUAUGCAUAUUCAUGUGGUCUUGUAGAUAAAUUUAUUUGUGCAUUGUUAGCAAAGAUUGCUCAGCAUUCAGAUUUAAGCCUCAUUAUUGCCUCACCAUCAACUCCUUCCUCUUCCUCGUCUCCUGAAACUUCAUAUGGGUGUAGAUUCUCCUGCACUUCAACCAAAACCACCCCAGAAUCAAUAAUCAAGCCAUCAUGUUCAUCAUCAUCAUCAUCACCAAGCAAAGCGUGGUGGUUUGAUGAUUUGACAAUUCUAUCGCCAGUCAUUAUAGAGAAAAUCAUCAAGGGGUUGGGGGCUUACGGGGCUGAAAAUAACAGCUUAAUCCUCACAAGAUUCCUUCUUCAUUAUCUAAAAGGCUGUGUUCAAGCUCAGAGCAAAGGCUGGGGCUAUGGUGGCAAUGGCAGCUACAGUGGUCUUGCUGACACAGCUGUUCAUGGGGUCAUUUUGAUUGGAAAAUUUUCAUUUUCUUGCAGGAAAUUGUUUUGGGUACUUAGAAUUGUGUCUAAUUUUGGUAUAAGCAAAGAUUGCAGAGCUGGUUUGGAGAAAAUGAUUGGUGGGAUGCUUGACGAAGCAACAUUAGAUGACUUGUUGGUAUCAGGCCAAGGCUACGGCAAUGGCCAUGAUAGAGGUGUUUAUGAUGUAAAUCUUGUUAUAAGAUUGAUUAGGAUAUUCGUUAAUAGUAAUAGUAGCAAUAAUGACUUGGUCGGUUCACAAAAAUUGAAAAAGUUUGGAAGAUUGAUUGACAAGUACUUGGGUGAAAUAUCACCUGAUCAGAAGCUUACGGUCCCAAAGUUUCUUGGAGUUGCAGAGAGCUUACCAGAUUCUGCUAGAGAGUGCUUUGAUGGUGUCUACAGAGCUGUUGAUAUAUAUCUUGAGGUGAAUAAAUUUAUCAUUAACUUUAUUAAUUUUCUUGCUUUUGCAAUUGCUCAUCCUUUUUAUCUAUAAAGAUCAAAUAAUUGGAGUUUUUGGAUAGCAGAGAAAAAAAAUUUGUAGAUAGGACAACAUUUAUAGACGCUUUUAUUGAAACUAGAAGUUAGACUUUCUCAUCUGCUUUUCAUCUUUUUUUUCCCCCUUUUUGUGAAGAAAUUAACAUGCUUUCCACAUAAUUUAACUUGUUUUCAUGGUCAUAAAAGAUUUGAUGAGCCAUUGUAUAAAUGACAUUAUUUAAUAUUUGUUAAAUAUGUAAAUUAAUUACACAAAAUCAUCUGGCAAUAUUCUUCAUCAGCUACAUUGUCUAUUAAAUUACUCGUAUGUUUUUAAUAUAUAUAUGAACAUUUUUAAAUAUGAAUUCUAGGUUGAAAUAUAUUACCUACCUCUAUUGCAGUUAGACAAUACGGUUACGAUCUGACCUUAAAUUUUGUAUUUUAAAACAUGUUAACGUGUGGACAGAAGAAUCACAAAAUCUUAUUCUACAUCUUUCUCAUAUAACAUAGUUUAUGGUUAUUGCAGUCUCAUCCAACUCUUUCCUUUAAGGAGCGAUCAGAAUUAUGCAGAUGCCUAAACUACAAGAAGCUCACACUUGAAGCAAGUAAAUAUCUUGCAAAGAAUCCAAAAAUCCCCCAAAUGUAGCCAUUCAAGCACUUAUGUCCCAGCAUUCCAAAUUACCAACAAAAGAUGAGUUUUCAUAUCAUCAAAGUGAUACCAAAAGAAAGAUCGAUCCAAGCACAAAGAAUUCUCAAGUUGUCUUAUACAACGGCGCCGGCGCCGGCGUCAUUGAUGAUGCAGAGAGAUUUUCAGGAGAGAAUGAAAAUGUGAGAUUGAAUCUACAGACGAUGCAACGGAGGGUCAGGGAGUUGGAGGAAGUUUGUAGGGAGAUGAAGGGUCACAUGCACAAAUUGGUUAGGCAUAAUAGAAAUUUGCCAAGAUUAUGUUAAUAUCAUUGAGACUCUUGCCCUCUCAUGGAAAAUAUACAAAUGUAUUUGUAAAAUGAUAAUGUAUUGUAUUAUGUUUGUGUAUUUUAAUUAAUGAUAAACAGAUGGAAUUUUUAUUAUAAUUUGGAAUAUUCUCAUGCAGAAGAAUAUAUGAGCCAAACGCAUUUAAAAAUUUGAUUGAUCUUAUGUAUUAAUGGACUUAUUUUGACUCAGGGAUUAUGAUCCUCUUCCUAUUUGAGUUCUCCUGAGUUUUUAAAAAUUCAGUGACAUGUAUAUUUAUUGAUAUAUAGUAUAUGAAUAUGAUUUAAGUCUUUUAUUUUUUUAUAUUUAUUAAGCACCAAUCCCGCAAUUAUAUUUUUACUUAACCGGAAAUUAGAUUAUGAGAAAAUGUUAAUCCUUUUAAAUUGAUGUGGCAGCGGUACAUGAGAUUAAUUACUAAAAUUUUAUAUGAUGUGGCAAUUAUAGAUAAAUUAUCAUAUAAAUAAGACUUAAAUAUUGAAAUCUCUAACAUUAUUGAGUUUUGAAAACGAAAAAUUUCACAUAAACUUUUACUUAGCAAUUAAUAUUUAUUAUCUCUUCAUAUAUUUAAAUUUACUACUUCCAUUCCGCAGCAACUAAAUCCAAACACACCCUAAAUUUGCUUCGGUUUUGUACGCUAGCUUGUUAAUGCAGGGCACGACCUCAUGCAACAUUUUAACCUAGAAACUUGUGCAAUUAAAAACUUACCAAAUCAAUUUGCUAUAUCAUAAUUUAUUCUUUGUAGUGAGUUAGUUGAUAUCCGGAAUUGGAUUAUUCAUAUUUUCACGUGUGAGUCAAAUUAGAAAAAAUAAAACAAAUAAAUAAUAAGGAAUCCACCUUUGCCGGUGCCCAAUCAAAGAUUUUGUUUUGGCAUUAAACACGCAAGAAUUAAUUUAUAGCAUACAGCAAUAAUUUAGAUUGGAAAUUUUGAUGCGUGUGGACAGAGGAUGGAGCCUUCUGAAAAAUGUUGUGGGAUAAAGCCAAGAAUUAUUAAGGGAAAGUCCUGAAAAGUACAAGCAAUAGCCAAUGGAUUCUAAAACAGGGGGCUUUCAACAAGUUGUGAGGACUUUGGGAAUUUAAUUUCAAUUAUUUUUCUAUCUUGACUAGUAAUAAUGCCAAGAGCCAGUUUUGAUCCCGUGAUUGCUGAUGUCGUGUAGUUUAAGUAUCAAAAUUUUGAGUAUUUAUCUAUAGUGCGAACGUAGAUUAUUUUAGAUCAACGAUUUAAAAUUUGAUUAUUAUGUUGUUUAGUUAUAUGGUACAAUGAAUUAGUUUUUCAAUCAAGGAUUCCUGACUUUAAUAAAGUUAGGAAUAAAUUAAAAAAUAAAAUAAACACAUUCUCCAAUACAUUGUAUUUUGUCUUGUAAUGUAUUUUUAUCUUGUAGUGUAUUGAAAUCUAAAUUUUUUUUGUCUUUUAAUUAAUCAAUGACUUUAAUAAAGUCAGAGAUCUCUGAUUAGAAAACCACUCCAAUACAAUGUAUUUCCAACAAUAAUAGUUGUCGGUAAACAAUAAUUUUUACACAUUUUCAAUUCUUUUUUUACCCUCCUCGCAAUAAGAAUCACAUAAUUUGGAGUAUACGUAAAAAAAUUCCAUCCUUAAUAGUUUGGUUAAAUAAUUUUUAAGUAGUUUUUUUUAAUUGACCACCUAAAUUCGAAUAUUGAGAAAGAAAAAAUUAAAAUUAAAAAAAAAUUGUACAAAAUCACCCCAAAUUACUAUCACCAUUCCAAGUUUCCUUGGUAAAAAGAGUUUAUUAUCCACAGCUUGAUUAUUUUCUGCUUGAAACACAAAAGUCUAUCAAAUUCAAAUCCCGUAAUUUUAAGACCGUAGUGUACAAUAACAAUAAAAGAAAAAAAAAAUAUAUUAUUGAGUGAUAAAUAAGACAAUUUCACUUACACAUGAUUUCCUAAACUCUCCACAAAUUGUUAUUAGCUAACUUAUUUCUUAAAAUAUCACAUUUAACGUUCAAUAAUUUUUUUAUUUUAUUUUAGCACUAAAAAUCAAAUGGAAUAUUAAAAAUUUAUCAAGCACCUACGCCGUCAAAAAUAAUUUUUAAAGAGGGUCAAAAGUGUUAUUCUCCCUAGUUGUAAAAUAAAAUUUCUCAAAAUAGACUCAGAAUUGUAACAUUUAAACAAAUCAAAAAAAUUAAAUGGGCAUCCACAGCACCAUUAUUCCAUACACCUUGUUAAAUUUAAGCUUGCCCUUUAGGAAGACAAGUAGAUAACAUUGAAGCUUUGUUCGAACCAACAAAAGAAACAAAAUUAUACAUGAUUGAUAACUAAGGCUUUUAUGAUAAACCUCAUGUUACAUUCAAACAUUUCUCUUUACAAGCUUCGGAUAGGAGGCCGGGGGCUCACAAAUAAUCUACCUGAUUUAUCUGACUAAAUAAAUAACAUUCAAAUACAAUAUAAGUUACAAGAAACCAUCAUCACGUUUCUCUAAGUGUGACGAGGUAAUAUCACUAAUUAUGUCCUAUGACGAUGUGAGGGCGGGUUUGAUAUCACUCUUACUAAAUUUAAAAACUCAAGAGCUACUGUUCUGAACUUGAUGUGAGGGACAACUGUCUUCAAUCGUCUGAGAGUUCAAAAUUUUUCGAAGAGAACGAUAUUGCAGGCGAACAUUCUCACCACUUCCAAUAAUAUUAAGCAAAUACCUACAACAGAAAAAGAAAACACUUACUCCUAUAGCCACAGCUCACAAUAAACUAAAACCUAUUCGAAUUGCACAUUCAGGUAAGCGGCCCUGACCCAAAUGAAGAAAUUUUUUGUCAUUACCAUAGAAUUGCCAUUAAAGUGAGCCAGAAGACACCGCAUCUUUAAUUGAAGAAUAAAUAACAGAGAAUGCUAGUAAAAGCAUUAGGUUUGCUCCACUUACCAGCCAUUGAGACAUUGGGAUGUGAUGACAGCUUCCUUCCCAACAAACUUCUCUGGUGUCCUCCUAUUUCCCUAUACAAUUCAGUAUGCUCUUACAAAUACGGAUAACCAACUAGAAGAGUUCGUAGAUUUUAGAGUCAAAGAAAGCAAACUACUCACCUUGAUCAGCACCUUCUCAUUAACAGAAAAUGGAUACUGUACCCCCCUAUUCAAUCCAUCAUCUGUUGUAGUAGCAUCUCCAUUUUCCUAGAUACAAAUAAGAAAAAUAUAAAUCACUUCAUACAUUCUGAACAAUGCGGCUUAUAAUAACUCCAUCUAACAUCCAGUCACAUCAAGUGUUAUUAUUGACUCGUUCGACUAUUACAAAGAUAAAACCAAGCAGAAGUCAACCAGUAUACCGCAAAAACAAUCAGGAAUAUUUUUCUCCGUAUUUCACCCUGUUUCCAAAAUUUUCUCAAUAUUUCACCUUAACAAGCUACAUCUGUCCAUCUCUUCACUUGUAUUACAAAUAACUAUUUGUUUAAUUUUUUUUUAAAAAACAACUAAUUGUUUAUAUACUAAAUAUGUUCAUGAGACCAUAUGCACAACCCAAAAUCUCUAAAAUAUCAAGUCAUAGAUAUCAAGGAUGUCAAAAUAUACCCUAUUGGAUCUUCUCAUUGGAUCCAUUUGGUCACCCAUUUCUUUCCGACGCUUACGUAGAGCUGCAUUAUGGAAUAGCCUUCGAUCAUCCUCUUGCUUGAUAGCUACAGCAGCAGCUCUAAGAGCUGUGGAAAGAAAUCAAAAGAAUUGGAUGUAUAAGUAAAUCAACCUAAAGGAAGCGGUAUCAAAAGCCAGUAAAAUUAAUUAAGCAAAUGAAAUGUACCAAGAUUAGGGACCAAAGACCCAGUCUCAAUUUCUGCGCUGCAGAUGGUACAUCUUGACUGUAAUGAAAACAAUAAUUGGGGUUAUAAGUCUUGUCUCAUCCCUUCUAGAGGGCAUAAUAAUAAAUCAUAGAAGAUGUCAAGAGUGCAGUCUUUCAUCAGAACACAUCAAAUUAAAAAAAUUAACAGCUUAAACCCACAAGCUUCCAUCUACCUACCAGAAACUGUAAAACAUUAGAAGAAUCCAAUCUCUACAUCUAUUAGUAAGUAUAGUAAGACCUAAUCUAAGACAAGCUUUCACCCUCACAAGACAAGUCAGCAUAUUCAAAUCUUUCACAUAAACAUAACUUUGCUGGUUCUGCCACCUAAAUCUCAAAUCAAACACAUUGUUGUUCCCAAAUCCAGGGAGAUUUGAUUUCAAGCCUUCAAGUUAGCCUAAAGGUGAUGGGAAGUAUAAAGAAAUAAGAUAAGUAGAAAUUCAGGUAAGGUUAGAAGUUAACAGCAUCAUCCUUAACAACAAUUGAAAACCUUUUCACAUACUUAUACUCCUAUAACAUCAAUGGUAUCUUGAACAAUUCCAAUCUCUAUUAGUCAACUGGCAAGUUCGGUUCUAAGACUGUUUGUGAAAAUAAGCAUUACACCAUUUGUCAGAACCACAUCAGAUACAGGAUAAAAGCAUUUUCAAUGGAACACAUAAGGCCACUUUAUUUGGCAUAUGCCAAAAGCCUAACACAACACUUUAUCCUAGGUCUCGAGCUGUCAUUUCACCUAUGCAGAAGGCAUCUUCUUAGCAAUCAAUUAAAUACAGUUUUAAUCAGUAAAAAUAGAUUGUCCUACUUACGGUAUCAAUAACUUUUCUCAGCAUGAGACCACCAAAAGAAUGUCCACACGAAACAACCAUUGCAUCAUCGAGGAAUGCACCACUAAAUGUCAACAAAUUCGAGAAAAGAGGUGCAAUUAGAACUCCAUAUAAAUCAAUAUAGUAUCAGCCUACUAUUCUCAAGAAAUGAAGUCAGACCCAUUUACAAGUCGAAAGAACAGAUUUGAUGCAUAUAUAUAUAUAUGUGUGUAUAUAAAGACAAAAAGGACAUAAGAAGUAAUAGCUAAUAAAUGGUGAGAAUGCACAAGAAAAAUGUAACAGAAAUUGAUCGUAAACAAUCACAAAUAGAAUAUUUAAAUAUAUUGAGCUUCCCAAUCUUUGUAUCAUCUUAAUAUAUAAGAGCAUCUCCAAAAGUCUCUUUAAAUUUUACUCUUCAAAUUUCAAUUUGUUUACUGAUGUGGCAAAUAAGUGUAUAGAAAAAUAUAAUCCCCUCCAAAAGACUCCUCAAAUAAGAAUAAGUUAAUAUUAUUUUAAUUAACUCUUUCCCACUAUCAAAUUGAAUUGUUGUUAUGUUUUUUAAAGGAAACAUAAAUAAUAAUUAUUGCAAUCUUAUCUUUUCAAUAAAUAAUAAUAAAAUAUUAAUAGAAGAGGGAGAAACUCACUCGGCAAUAUUGAAAGGUGAGAAACAAAUCUUAUUUGAAGAAUCCAAAUUAACGUGUCUUUUAGAGUGUUUAAUAUUGAUAUGACUCUUCAAAUAAGAAGUAGAAUUUUAUUUGAAGAGUCUUUUGGAGAUGCUCUAAUUAUGGGCUUGCUCCAGAUUCUAGGGAGUUGAAAUGAAGUGAGAAAAUGCAAUAUGAUGAUGAUCUUGAUUCGUGUUAUCAAGAAUCAUGCCCAUAUCCAUCACUUAGUUAAAGAAGAAGUAUUCUCUUUGGAAGCCAAGACACAAAUCUACGGUCUCAACAACAACGAAAACUAGGAACCAGGAAGAAUUAGCUUGUUCAGUUACUGGUUUAAGUUUAAUAGUUUAAAAAAGUAUUAGUAAUCAGACGUGGAUAGUUGAUGUUUUGCUGGAAUGGAAUGUGGCAAGUUCAUCAGGACUUGUUUGUCUAUGAUGAGGUAGUGAUCCACGAGUGGGAACAACAGUGACAUAUCAAAUGUUUAGUUGAUUUUAGCACAGGUAGUAAAACUUCCUAAUUUCAAUGAGUUUGAGAAGCACCAACACUGUCAGAAUGAUAGUUUUUCUCAAUAUAAAUAUCUUUAAUCUUCAAAUUACAGAGUUGACUUGAUAAUAUUUGAGAUGAUUAUUUUGGUUCUUAAUUGUGAGACACAUUCACUGUUCAGGUCAAAACUCUUUAUUCCUUCUUGUUUAUGCUUGAUACAUGCAUGGAUACAUACAAUGAUUAAAACUGUAACUGUGCUAGACUUAAAGCUUAAGAAUGAAAGGGGGAAAUAGCAGAGAGAACAGAAUAAACUCACGAUAAGGGAUCUGAGAGAACGCUUCUUAAUGACGGUUCCUUGUUCAAAUUGUUUUGUACUAACUGUGACCAAACAAAUAUAAUCCAAUCAAAUUCAGAUAGCAGUUAAAAUAUGUAUCAAAUGAAAGUUAGUUACUAAAAAUCAAAGUUAGAAAUAAAGUUUCAAAACAACAAUCUUUAAUGUGGAGAAUGAGGAUAACAAAUUAGCAAUUAAAGAUGUAGGCAAUAAGUAGCAAAGUUCAUAUGUGCUCAUUUAUCAAAAGAAAUGAAAUCAAUGUCUUGAAUGAAGUCGGUUUCUCCAAAUCACCAGAAAAUUUAACACCUCAAUGGAAGCGAGCGAUCAAAUAAUAUUUUCACAAAUAAGGUACUAGGGAUCUUCAAUUUUAUUUAACUUGCCAUUGUUUACUUGGUGGGAAAUGCUAAAAUAACUUACGUAAGUAUUAUCAGAACGAUUACACAAUCCAUCUUCCUCAGCAGAAAGGUCAUCCAUAAACUGGCUAACAGAUAUUGGUACAUAGCUCUGGGGAAUGACAUGACCAGCCGCUGCAAUUGGUGAACAGUCUAAUAUAGCGUUGCCCUGUGGCAUGAGCCUGAAUGCCAGUGACGUCCUGCAAUCGCAACACUCUAUGGGAUAAUUUAAUGUAAAGUGGAAGUUCAACCACAACAUCUAUCUUCAAGCCACAUCCAUCAAGAAAGCAAAUUUAGAAGAUAUUGAUUGUACCUCCCCCCACCAUUACUGCAUGACACAAAAUCAGGAGCAGCCCUAUACAAUGCAGCAGGACGAAGGCCAGCAGUAGCAUGGCUAAGUGCCUUGCCUGUAAUCAGUAAGAGAUCCCCAGGAGCUGACCCACCAUCUGCCAGGUACCAGCGACCAUUGGGGUCACAUACCUAUGGAAGAAAAAGCUUUCAGAUGUAAACAGUUGCACAAUCAGAAUAUCCAAAAUGCAUAACCGUGAUCAAGUAUUUGCAAAAAGGUUAAAUUCAGAUUUUUGAUAGAAAGAAUUUAUGAAACCAGUGAAGCACAUGAUAUUAGCUAUAAUGAUCUUGACACCGGAGAUAAUGACACUUAUUAACAUUAGAUUAUCUUCAAAUUCUAGAAACCUGCAGACCAGGACUGUCUGAGGAAAUCAAUGUUAAUAAUCCUUUCUCAACUUCACCAUUCAUAGCUGGCUUCCCUCCCCCAAUAGCCCCAAUAGCCCCUUUUCCAUUCUGCAAGGAUGCAGGAGAGUAAGUUGCAACAAGCACCGAUGAGGACACUUCAUUAGCAGGCAACGGUGUAUCAUCAAGUAAAUGAUUAAAAACACUGCAUUACAUGAAUUAUAAGUAGAAAUCAGAUAUAUUUGUUAGAGAAAAAGAAGGAAAAAAGAAAAGCUCAGGCAAAUGAGCAAUGUGAAUUCAAAAUGAAUAUCCUUCAUAACCAUACUCGCUUCGCAAACGAAGAUGUCUUGCUAUCGCAAACAACGCUGCACGAGCUGCCUUCCCCAUGCACCUAAAAAUAUCAGCCAUGCAAGGGGGAGAGGAGUCCCAAUCUUCCAAAGCCCUAUCACAACACAACCUCGUACAACAUUAAAUUUUGCCCAGAAAAGAAAAGAGACCAAAAUUAAGCUUAAGGCAAGUACAUGUUAAAUAACGAGAAAAUCCAAUAUGUUCCUAGGGAUACCCAGGGUAGAAACUUACUAGUACUACUUUUUCCACUCACACCAUCCCCUUCAAUAUUGGCUUCCUUAUACUUUCUACUCUUAUUAAUUGAUAUGUAGAACACAUAUUCAUGAAAAUGCAAUACAAACAACUUCAUGAUUAAUAAAUAUGCAUAUAUCUAUAGAAUUACCUUCCAGCUCGAUACAUAUAAACCCCGCGGCUUCCCUUACCAACAGUCUGAGAUUUAGUCCUAAAGUACAAGCGGGCAGCUUCAAGCCCGCAACGCAUAAUGGCAGCAUCCUCGCUUCCCAACUCAAUAACAGCUGCAUUAUGCCUCAUAAGCGACCCCGACAGCGCCUCCACAGCCUUCAGAUAGGGCCCAGCAGGGGCGCCAUCGUAGGGCGCCACGUCGGAUAAGCGCACCCUAGGCAGCAUCGUCGUCGCUACCGGAGGCUCAACCGAGAUAGGGACCACCACCGGGCCGAUGGCAUGGUCUGCAGCAGCGGCAAUUGGUAUCGCUUGACGGGGUGCAUGGGUGGCGGCGGCGGCGGCGGUGGUGGGGGAUCUAAGGCUGGAAUUGUUAGCUGUGGCGGCAGUGGCGGAGGCCGUGGAUUGUGACUGUGGCUGUGGCUGUGCAGAGGAGUUCUGCUGCUGCAUCAUCAUCAUCAUCAUAACCAUGAAUCAUUCUGCUAAGUCGUUUAUUUUAGGGUUUACGCUUCUUCAGAAUUAGGGUAUUGGAUAAUUCAUGGGGUUUAGGGUUUUUUUUUGUUUUGUUUUGUUUUGUUUUUUAAAAGAAGAGCGGGUUGAUUGGUUGUUUAUGGUUGGGGGUCAGCAGAAACUGAAAAUUAAUUUGUUGAAAUGUUUUUGUUGUUUCCGUUCGCCGAGAAAUGGGAGUGAAUGCGUCUGAGAGUGAGAUUGAGUGAGAGUGAGUCGUCUGUCGCGACUAUAGAAAUGAGACAAAGAUGGAGUUUCGCGUUUUUACUGUGUGAAAAAUAAUAAUUUUUUAAUAGCACUGCUUCAUAUUCCUAAAUUUUAAUAUUUUAUUUUUAAAUUUCAUAUUAAAAAAUGCGCAUUAAAAUAUAAUUUGGGAUAAAAUUUUGAACAUAUUUAUCAUUUAUUCUUUUUUCCUUCUUUUUUUCAACAUAAUGGUAUUCGAAGGGAAUUAUAUUAAAGAAGAUCUUAAUAUAAAAUUACUUUUAUAAUUACUUUUAUACUUAAUAUAAAAUUCUAUAUAUAUAUAUAAAAUAAAAUUUUAAAAUUAACCUUAUUAAUUAGAAUAUAAAGUCAUUACUUUUAAAGAAAUUAUUAUUAUUAUCAACUAUACUGAGAUAACUAAAUAAAAAUAAAAUUAAUAAUAUAAAAUAUUUAUUUUAGUUAUCAAUUAUUUUAUGUACACAACAAAAAAAUUAUUUUAUAUACAUUUUGAAUAAAUUUUAUUAAAUAUUAUAUCUAAUUUACUCAUUUACAUUAUAAUGGUAGUUCAAUUAUAAGAUUUAACAAAUACAUAUGCCUACUUUUAAAAUUCACAAUACUUUUAAAAACAAGUUUAAUCAAAUGUUUAAUUAAUUCUUUUUAGAGUUGAUUAUUUCUAUAACACAAUUAACAACAAUUAUUUUAAAAAUUACAGCAUUACCAAAUUGGCUUAAGAUUCUAAGUUUACAAUAUUAUCUUGUAUUUUUUUUAUAAGAGUUGACUAAUUAAACUAAGUUAAAAGAAAUUAAGUAUAUUAAUAGUAAUUUAUUAAUAUUACAUAUUUAAAAUUAUUUUAUAAUAGUUAGGAGUCAUUUGUUUUUUAUACUUAAUAAUAUAAUUGACUUAAUUUCCAUCAAUUAAGUCCUUAAGUCUGUUUAUUUUUUCAAAUUAGUGAAAAUUUUCAAUCAUUAAGUUAUUAAAUUAUUAAGUCAAUUUUUAACUUUUUACUUAAUUUAAAAUGUCUAAAUGACAUCAUUAUAAGAUAUUCUCUAAAAUAUGCACAUCUAAUUUAUUUAUUUUCAUCUUUACUUAAAUAAAAUUUACCAUGUAACAUGACUAUUCAUCUCUAUAACUUGUGAUAAUAUAAUAAUAUAUGAAUAUUAUUUUUAUCUUUUUUUAUUUUUCUUCAAUUUAGUAUUUUUUAUCUUUAUAAAUUUUUAUAAAUAUUUUUUUAUAUGAAAUAUCGUAAACUACAAUAAAAUUGAUUAAUAUGUUUAAUAAAGAAAAUAUUAAAGGAUUGUAUUAAUAUUCAAAAAUAUUAAAGGAUUGUAUUAAUAUUCAAAAACAUUAAAAUAACUUCAUCACAAAGAUGACAUGUCAAGAACAUUAAAAUAACUUGUGUGAUAUGUCAUUUAUAUAUUUAGCUCAUUGAUAUUUCUUGUUAUUACCUGAUCGAAUUAUUCAAAAACCUUAGCUUGCUUACGUUUUGUUAGUAAGUAUUAUUCAACUAUUUAAAUUUGUAUUUUACGUAUAAUAAUGAAUUAGUGACUAUUAUAUCAUGAAUUAAAUAUUUCAAUUAUUAAUAAUAAAUAAUAAUUUAAUAAUUAUUAUUAUUAUUUAUUGAUAAGAAUUAAUAAUUUCUUAUGUUAUCAAUUAAAUAGAGAGAAAAAUAAUUGAUACAGCUCAAACGUUUAAAAAAAUAAAUACAAAAUUUCUUAAUAUUUCGGAAAAAACAUUUAGACCCCAAUUUUUUAAUGGAUUUAGUUUGUUUAAGUAAUUAAAAGGUUAAUAUGGUAUAUUCCCUUACUAAUAACUAGUGUAUUCACCCAAAAACCCUCCUUAAGAAAUCACAAAUUUACAAAAAUAAAAUUCAAUCGGUUACUACCUAGAAACCCUCACCCCUUAUUAGAAAAAAAAAAAUUCACAAACCCUUAAUAGAAUUCCCUAACCUGCUAACAUGCCCCUGUUACUUGUGUCUAGCCGCUGCUCGUGUCUUGAGGCCGCUGCUCGUGUCCUGAAGCCGCUGCUCGUGCCCAGCUGUUGUUCGUGCCCAUAAACCACUGCUUGUGCCGCCUUUAAGCAACUACUCGUAUUGGACUUAGGAAAAAUCGAAGGUUAACUUAGAGAAUAAAUUAAGUUCGCUGUGUUUCAGAAUAAUUAUAGGCGCAUGCUUCAUAGAGAAAUUGCCUUGUGCUUGAAACCAUGGAUAGGAUUAUAUGUUGAAUUCGCACAAACAUGACUUUGUAGCAUUCGGAGUUGGGUUGCAGAAUUGACACAAUAUAUAUGAUUUUCCACGGUCUCCCAAUUCUAACCUGAGAGCACUUAUGAUAUGUACACCGCUGCAGAAUCUAUUGGACAACAUACUUUUCUUGUUUGUGCCUAUCUUGCUUUGCCGUUGGUAUUCAUGUUUAUAGGCUAUAGAAAUCUUAUUAAUGUAGGCUGGGUUGGUUAUUCCUGUAGGCUCGUUGAUAGUUGAAGUAAGUCAAGAUAACUUAAAUUUUGUGAACCAAUAUUGUGAAAAACAAACAGGUAUUGUCGAUUUGAAAAAUAAGAAAUUGAAGUAAAUUUCUAAAGUAAAAUUCCAACCCUUAUAUUCGAAAUUUAUUAACAAUUUAUGGACAAAAUAGAAAAGUCCAUAUUGUUGUGAUCGCCCGAGUGCCCAAUAAUUCAGGCUAAGAGCUCAAACAUAGGCCAAUAGUCUCCCUUGGCUCGAUUCUAGAAUUUUCUAGCAAACUCUAACACAACUCAAAUUUGUAUAUAUCUAGAAUUCUUUACACAUCUCUAACACUUAUAAAUAUCUAAAUAUUUAGGCAAGUUGAUAGAAUUUUCUAAAAUUCUAGAGCUUGGCAAGCCUCCUUAUAAAUAGGGCAUGCCAUUUGACAUUUGAGCAUCAAGUUAAAAGCAAGCAACUGAAGCACCUUUGUAAGUUCUCUUGUAAACACUUUGCAAGUAAUAUAAUUUUCCUCUUUUGGCUCAACUGCUCUCUAACUCUUUCGAAAGCCUCUAGGCUUAACUAGUCGAGAAGUUCAAAGACUUACUUAGCAACUUUCGGCAAGAGUUGUCUAAAUAUUGCACGGGUUCAUUGCGCAAAAAACUCAUCCCGUGACAAGUGGUAUCAGAGCAGAAGUUUUCACCUACGCAAGUUAGUUCAUGAGCAAAGGCCAACCCUCCAACCACAUCACAAGAGGGCAUUGUUGGUGUGGAUGUUCCACCGGAACCAACCCGUAGUCACGAGGAAGGACGCGCUCAUGGCAAGUCCAAAGCCCCAUCCAUUGAUGCUUUAGAGCUUCGCAUGACCACACUCGAAAUUGUAUUGUCCGCCGCUCAGGACAUACCCUUGGAGGAUUGGAAGAAAGGGUGGAUGGUCUCAAAGGGGAGUAUGCUGACUUCACUGUGGCAACCAAGGACCUCAUCCAAGACUAAGCCAACACCCUUCGAGGGGAAUUUCGAGCAUUCCACGAAGAGUUGCCGAAACUCCGCAUUUUCAAUCAAGAGGAACUGCGAGCUAUCCGUGCGAAAGUAGAGGAAGUUUGCUCAUACUGGGCAUGACACAAGCACACACUUUCUGCAAGCCUGGCAUCCACAAGUACGAGUGAUACGCGACACAUCGAUGUGCCAAAACCCGACAUCUAUGAUGACGCGCAAUGUCACUGUCGUGGACAACUUUCUCUUCGGGUUAGACCAAUACUUUGAUGCCAUAGGUGCGCGAGACGAAGCAUCGAAAUUGAGCACAACACUCACUUACCUUUGAGGCGCCGCACAACUAUGGUGGCGUCAGAAGUAUGGCGAGAUGGGUAAAGGCAUUUGCACCAUCGAUACUUCAGCAAAUUUCAAGCAAGAAUUUCGAAAGCAAUUUGCCCCAAGCAAUGUGGAAAAGGAAGCGAGAGCGCGCCUACGUCGACAAAAAAAAAACGGAUAGUGUUCGCGACUACAUCAACGAGUUAACUACCCUCAUGCUUGAGAUCAGCAACAUGUUCGACAAAGACUCCCUCUUUUAUUUCCAAGAUAGAACUCGAUAGGUGGGGUGUUCAAACAUUUGACGACACCAUCACCAUUGUGGAAUCGCUCACUGAGUACUACACCCAAUCCAAAGAUAAAAGGUCUAACCAAGGCAAAGGUGAGAGAGAAAGUCGCAAUGACAAGAGCAACAAUCGCAAGGAUUGGGGGCAGAAAAAGUCACUUAACAACAAAAGCGGGUAAGGCAAAUCGGAGAACAAGAAGGAGCCACUAAAGCCUUGAAACCCAUGCUUCAUAUGAAAUGGUCAUCACUGGGUACACGACUGUCAGGAGAAGAAGUCGCUUAAUACUAUUGCGGCCCAAUUCAAGAGCAACCCUCCAACAUCCGCGCAAGAACCCCAUGCUUAUCGAAUUCUGUCUUGGCCUAAUCCUUAAUGCCAUCUUGAAAAUAAAAAUAAAAAGUCUUUGUCAGACAUGUCGCUGAUCUCGAGCAUGAGGGUAGUGAACUCAUUGAUGUAGUCGCGGACACUAUCCGUUUGUUUGAGAUGAUGUAGGCGUGCUCUUACUUCAUUUUCUGCACUACUUGGGACAAAUUGCUUUUGGAGUUCUUACUUGAAGUAUGCUAAAUGCCUUUACCCAUCUUAUCAUACUUUUGACGCCACCAUAGUUGCGCGACACCUCGAAGAUAUGUGGGUGUUGUGCCCACUUUCGAUACUUCGUCUCACACACCCAUGUCAUCAAAGUAUUGGUCUAACCCGAAGAGAAAAUUGUCCACGACAGUGGCAUUGCGCAUGUCAUCAUAGAUGUCGACCUUUGGCAUAUCGAUGUGUCGUGCAUCACACAUACUUGUGAAUGCCGGACUUGCAGAGAGUGUGCGCUUGUGCCAUUCCCAGUCUGAGUGGACUUCCUCUACUUCAGCACGGACAGCUCGCAGUUCCUCUUGGACGAAACUGCGGAGUUUCAGCAACUCUUCGCAGAAUGCUCGAAACUCCCCUCAAAAGUCGUUGGCUUGAUCUUGGAUAAAGGCUUUGGUUGCCACAAUGAAGUCGGCAUACUCUCCCUUGAGACCAUCCACCAUUUCUUCCAAUUCUUCAAGGGUGUCCUGAACGAUGGACAAUGCGAUUUCGAGCAUGGCCAUGCAAGGUUCAAAGGCAUCAAUGGAUGGGGCCUUCGACUUGCCAUGAGCGCGUCCUUCCUUGAGACCGUAGGUUGGUUCUGGUGGAAUAUCCACACCAACAACGCUCUCUUGUGAUGUGCUAGGAAGGUUGAUCAUUUCUCACAAACUAACUUUCAUGGGUGAAAACCUUUGCUCUGAUACCACUUGUCACAGGAUAAGUAUUUUACGCAACGAACCUAUGCGGCACUUAGACAACUCUUGUCGAAAGUUGUUAAGUAGGUUUUUGAGUUUCUCAACUAGUUAAGCCCAGAGGUUUUCGAAAAAGCUAAAGAGAAGAGAACAAUUGAGCCGAAAAAAGAAAAUUGUAUUACUCGAAAAGUUAGAGCUAGAAAGCUUUUAAGAGUGCUUAAGUUGCUUACUCUCAGCUUGAUACUCAAAUGCCAAAUAUCAUAUCCUAUUUAUAAGGAGGUUUGUCAAGCUCUAAAGUUCUAAAGAAUUCUAACAACUUGCCUAAAUAUCUAGAUAUUUAUAAAUACUAGAGAAGUAUAAAGAAUUCUAUAUAUGUACAAGCUUGAGAUGUGCUAGAGUUGGCUAAAAAAUUUUAGAAUUGGGCCAAGCUAGCACUCUUGGCUUAUGUUUGGGCUCUUAGCCCGAAUUCUUAGGCACUUGGGCUAGAAACUUGGACGGUCUACAUCAUAAAGCACUCUCUUCACUGCAAAAUGCAGUUGAUCUAUAAUAAUAAUAAUCGAAUUUAUUAUAGAAGACAGUACCCCGACAAGCAUGCAUAGUCUAAUAAUAUGCUCCAUUUUUCACCGUACUCCUGAACAGUGCCAGUGUAUCAAUGACAUACCAACAGAAAUCUAUAUAUAAAAGAUUCUGCAACGACAUAAUUUAACUCAGCUUUAUUCAGUCAUUGAAUUCGAACCACAUCAUUCUCAAACAUAUGAUACAAACUUGCAAACUGCGCCGGAACAAAAUUUCUUACUGAACUCAUCACAAAUCACAGCAGCUAGUAAAAUAAAAAUCAAGCCAAGCCUGAACCUCCGUGUAUUGGCCUGUUUACAACCCUUGGCAGCCACCCAAAAAUGGAAAAAAGGAAAGAAAAAAACUGAACCUACUUUUAUUAUACAUGAAUGUAGUAACUUUUCACCUCAUUUCCAGUUGAGGAUAUGGCACAUACUUGUAGCUGACGAACCUUCAUAAUAUUAUAUAUCACCCACCAACAACAAAUAAAUAAAUCAAACAUCGGAGACCUAAGAGAAAUAAUAAUAAGACAACGAAUAUUGAGAGGAACCAAAAACUAUUAUUAACAUAAGAUAGCGGCGAAGCAGUGUUUCCAACACGGGAAAAAUAGAGGUGGCACCUGGAGCAAGACCAAAACCUGGAAAUUAGCAGGAAAAUAUUACAAAUUCAUGCAAAUAACUGAACAAGUCAAACAGCUAGGAGCAUGAAGAAAGAGCAGUAAUUUCAAAAGUUGUCAUAAGAAGUACUCCCUAAAAUCGGACUCUUCACAAAAUUCAACUUGAUAUAACAAAAUAUUUCACAUUCUGUAAUCAAUGUACUCAUCAAUCUAUACCACAGGAUAGUGGUUAAAAUUUUAAUAAGAAUAGAUAAGGGGACAAAGAUAACAUGCUUCAAGUUUGACAACUAAGAGUACUCUGCAGAUUCAUGCGUACCUGGUUAUUGAUCGCAUUCUGGUUUCAGCCUUCCCAAUCAAAUCAUGGUGAUCAAACCAGUCCUUUCAUAUACUAAUUCAAUUUAGAAAAACAUGUCAAAAACUUGGAAGAGAAGCUAUAUUCAUCGACCCUUCUCAAUUGGACAUCAACUUUUUGGGGCAAAUGCAGCUAGGGCAGUAGCAUGUGCAGGAGAGAGGUUACUCAACAACGGUUGCAUUUGCUGGCCAUAGAGAGAUAUUAGAUGCGAAAAAGCCAUGCCAACUUGAGACUUCACUUCAGAAGAUUCCUCUGGUGAAACAACUACUUCAGCAAAAAGGUUAACCAGCUCAGGUACAAGAGAAAGGAUCUGUUUACAUAUAAAAUGGUAAUCAAAACCACAUUAUAGAUAUAUGAUGGCAGGCAGAAAACUGUUGAUGCUUGUGCUCAAAAUAACUAUAAAGGAAUAAAAAUAAAAUAAACCUGGGGAUUUGAAGACAAAACCAGAGUGGAAAUACAAUUAUAAACAGCCAUUGAUUCUUCAAAGUCUUCUUUAAGAGGAAGAACUUUCAAAAGAACAGGAAGGACCUAACAGAAGCAGACAAGAGAAUAGGCGGAGAAUCACAGGAGACAUAAUCAGCUUGUAGAAGUGUCAAGAAACUAACAAGGAGACAAAAGGAAUUAUAAUUUACAAAUUCAAAAAUAUAAAAUUGAAAGAAACCUGAUUCAACGGGAUGGACUGCGGGUUGACCAUUAUCAUCCUUGCCACAGCACCAGCUGCAUUAUCCCUGACGGCAUCAUCAGGCUCAGAAUCCCCAAAUAAUGGGUAAAGACCCCGCAAAAUAUCACCAUAGUAUCUGUUUUUUAUAUAAGGGGGAAAAAAUGCUACGACACAACACUUAAUGACUUGAGAGAGGAUAAAAUUCAUAAUAGUUUGAACUUUUAAGAUGACUGACAUAAUAUUGCACUAAGUGGAACCUACAGUUGCAUUACAAAUAACAAAAUUCAUAACUACAAUAUAACAUGCAUGCUGAAGGAUACUUUAAAGCUGACUCUCCCCCAUUUUUGCACAACUCUCCAACACAAAAUGCUGCAUUCCUCCUAUUCAUUGCGUCAGGUGAUGCUAGUUCUUUGAGUACUAGGGGCAUCACCCUCUGAAACAUUACAAUACAACUUUCAGGAAUUGCUGCAUUCUUCACAAAAUCACCUCAAAAUAUAAAAAAGAAUAGGGAAUCAAAGUUUCAGAUAAAAUUACAUCAACAUAGGCAGCAAUAGGCGAACCCAUGUCCCGAGCAACUUCAGCCAAAGUUGCUACCACCAUGGUCCGGUCUUGCAGAGGGCGUGAAGAUUUCUACACUUGCCAAUACUAAAAAUAGUGAGGUAGUGAUAUGAGAAAUAAGGGAUUAGAAGGUUAUGAUGGGAGAACAUAUUACACAACUCAGGCACCAACCUACCGCAAAUUUCAUUAAAGGGUCAAAUAGCUUCGCAAAGAUAGGUGCAAAGUGAGGACCCAUGGACUUAGCAAAUGCAGGAAGAAGGUCAGAAACUGCAUCCAUUAUAACUUCAUCAUGUGCAGUGUCGUCGUCAUCUUCAAUAUCACUGUCAUUAUCUGGCUGCUGACAAGUUGACUCCUCUCGGAGCAGUAGCAGGGUUGCAUCAACCAGUCGAGACAUAUCUGAUGAGAUCAAGUCACAUUAUAAUUCAGGUUCACAUUAAGACAUUUAGCUGGCAUCUGAAAGCUUUUUUCAAAUGCAACUGCAUUCAAACUUACAAGGCUCAACAGCCAUGUAGCCAUAAUCAUUGAUGAUCUCAACAAUGCUAGUACAAGCUUGAGCAACGACAUCUUUGUCAUCAUCUUCAGUCAUAGUCCUGAUAAAAAUAUUCAUCACUGUAUCUGCAUGUCACGAAGAAUUUAAUUGCCAUCACGUUACUACCAUAAAAUUUGGUGAACUGAUAGAUACAAAGAGAUAAUAUUCAAGCUAUUUUGGAGAAGUAUCUUACCGAGAAUUUCUCUUGCCUUGGCUGGUCCUUCCUGCAGAGCAAGAAGAACAUCAUAUCAUGUUAGUCAACUUUUUUCAACUUCGGGUCCGUUUGGGAUUGAGGUUGGGCAGCUAUAGCUUAGAAACUACAGCACUGAAGUGUUUGGUAAACACUAACUGCUGUAACUUGGAAGCUAUAUUGAUAUGAUCUUUCACUUGUAUGGAAAAUCUAUUGUAUCUUUAAUAAUUUUAUCAAAAUUAUUAUUUAAAAUUUAUAUUUACUGCUUAUUAUUAACUUUUAUUUUAUAAUUAUAGCUUUUUUUCCACAGCAAACAAGACCUUAAUCAACUGAAACUAGCUUCAGAACUUAGGCAGCUCAUUCAAACAAGCUUCUUAUUAGCAUUGACAGAGGCACUAUCAACAUAUGACUAUCCGACUUUCCAUGGGGACCAAUUUUUUUUUUUGUUAAAUAAAAAAAUCCACCAAAGCCUAUAAACAGGACAACAGAAAAAAAUGGUAACACAAACUCACAUUAUGACUCUGGAAGAUUGCAUGUGCAGCUGUCAAAAUAUCUGCAGCAACAAAUCAAUCAACACAAUAUUAACAGUAUAUGGAAAACAUUUAUAUCAAAGUAUUUUCAAGUUUCUAGAGGCUUCUUUCGAAGUAUUCACUAACCAUGGAUGCAACACCCAAAGUUUGAGUUGAUCAGUUUGUUACAUCUGAAUAGGAUAAAUGUUAUUUUUUAUUUUUUAUUGAAUAAGCCGUCCACUAUAAGGAAAUCUUUGUCAAAUUCACUUUGCUUUGAUAUAUCAUCAUUAACAACUUAACUUCCAACAGUUAAAGAUUUUCCUACAGGAGGGAAUGAUUUAGCAACUUGACUCCCAACAGUUGAGAAACUUUUACCAGGGAAGAAUAAGCUAUAAGCAGGAAGCUAAGGCUUCUUUCUGUGUCAAGAAACAUAUUAUUUUUAGAAUACAAGGAUAAUAAUCUGCUUCUAAUUUUUUUAAUGCUAGUAAUAUAGCAACAAGAAUUUGUAAUAAUAAAAAGUGAUGAGAUGUCAUGAUCCUGACCCAGGAAAUAGAGUUGGCUAGGAGAUAAAUUUUAAAACUUGAAUUGGUACUCACUUUUCAAAGCAAAGACAGCCUGAUAUCUAACAUCUUCAUGAAAAUAGCUGGCGUGUCUCACCAAAAUUUUUAAUGACUCCUCCAAAAAGCUUAAAUAAAUUAAAGAACACAAGAAAAAAAUUUAUAUAGUAACAACCAAAUAAGUUAAAAAAAAUAAAGAACUCAGUAACACAAUUUAUUUGGUAAAAAAGGUGAGACAAGGAAGGAAGAGAAAAUAUAUAAAUGAAAUGGUAAAAGGAUACGGUGCAUAGGAACUCUUAGUAUGCAGUGCAAAUAAACCAAGAGCUUGUGUUGCAGCUGCCUUUUCAUCUAACACUCCAGUUCUUACACUGAUAUUUCGAACACUUCGCUCACAGUGAGCUUCAUCAUCGGAUGAAACUCCACCAAAUCCAUUAAUAUUCUCAUCAUCAGACCCAUCAAUGUCCACAGCAGAACCAUCAUCCAGAUUGCAGGAAGAAAAUGCCAGGGGUACAACCAGAGGUAGAUACUGCUCACCCAAAGAAAUUUUCACAUGAUCAUCAAUGCUAAUAAAAGAUUCAUAGAAGUUCAAUCAAAAGCAACGCCAUGUAUACCUGUGCAAAGCCGUCCUCUAGAACCCCUGCAAUGUUGCUAAAAAAUCCAUGGGUGUACUCCCUAAGCUCACUGAAUUCCAAUCCAAAACCCUGAGAAAUAAUGGAGACGAAUCAUUUAUACAGAAAGGUAUGUUCUGAUUCCAAGUCAAACAGCAUGUCAAUAUAGUUACAGAUAUAGCAGCUUCAACGAAAGGUGGCAAAAUUGGUUCCAUUCUUGCUCUCCCAACAGACUCUGCAACUAAUCCAAGAAGCUCAGUAGCCCUAGCUCGGGAACGGAGGUCCUCAUCAUUGGUAAGCACCAUGAAAAUCUUCAGUAACUCAAGAACCCUUUCAGCAUAUGGAAUGAAAGCUUGCUCUGCAGCAGCAGUUACUGAACCAAUGGCAGACUGUGACAACAUACAUUAAACCAAAAAUUUUUAAUAAAAGGGAAUAAGUUCAUUCAUUCAAUCUAUUUAUGUGAAGGCUGUGGGAACCAAAUGAUUCAUCUCCAUACCAUGCAUGUCUCCUGCAGAUUGCGGGGGCUAUUUUCAAGUGCUGCCAGUAGCUUCCCCAUCAAAGGAUCAAGAAAAGGAAGAAUUUCCUCACCCAUAUCCUCACAAAAAGCUGCCAAAGCAUAGUAAGACUUCUCCUGUGCAGAAAGAAACAGUUCAAUAACCAAUAAAAAGAUAUGUUAUAUCAUGACUAUUGCCUUUCCCAUAUGUACCUUCACUUCAUCAGAUUCAUCCUCAAGGGCAUUCAAAAUGCAAGGCAGAACGCUUUCAUAGUGAGAAACUAUUUCAGGCUGCAAAUAUUCAGCAAAUUGACCCAAUGCAAAUGAGGCAGCUCCUCUUACAAACUGCUCCGGAUCCCUCAGAGCUCCCAAGACAAUAUGAAGAACAGAUUCCAGCUUUUCCUUCAUCCACUCCACACAACCCUCUGAAAUGAUGCCUAUAGCUGUAACAGCAGCUUCCCUAUAUUUGGGACUAGCAUUUUGACAGCUUACAGAAGCAAACUCAAAAACAGGGGGAAAAACAUGCUUUGCAAGGUUCAAAGCCAUAGUGUCAAUAACUUCUGCAGCAGCUCGAUCUGGCGCCAGAUCAUCAUCUUCACCUGCCUCAUUUGAUUCAGCAAGCAAUGGGCACAUGACUUGCAGAAUUGGGAUAACCAGCUUGUGCUUUUUCAAGGAAUUGUAUUUGUACUUUGCCAACCAGGAAAUGAUUUGAAUAGCCUGAUAUAUUACACAAAGCACAAGAAGUAAGCCAAGUAGAAUGCUAAGACAUAUGUGAUGUGAAACUCAUCAACGCAGUGUAGCUCCAUCUCAACUGCCUAAGCUGUCCAGAGGAAGAAAGCACAAGAAAAGUACAUCGCUUGCUUAUUUCUAACCUGAUGACGUGUGUUGGGUUCCAAAUUAUGGCUUGAGGAAACUUCAAGAGAGAAAUGAACUAUGGAUUUGACAGAAUCCCCAAGAAGAGGUGCAGGGGAUUCAAUCAACUCAUCAAAAAUUUCAAAAGCAAUUACAGCAACAUCCUCUUCACCAGAAGCCAGGCAUUGUCUUGACACAUUUAAAAUACUAGGAAUAAAUUCCCGAAAUUUAACCUGCAAGGGCAAGAAAAAUGUAAUACCACAUAUAUCAAAGCAAGGAAACAUGAAAAGAAAAAAUGACUUGCAGUGGCAAUCUAGCCGACAUGAUACCGAGGAAUCAUAUAUCCAAGCAAACUAUACAUAAAAGUCAUCACUAAUGAAAAUCAUAGAGGUUCACUGUGACAUAUAAGUACCAAAUUUAGUUACACCGUAAAAUAAACCAAUGAAAAAUCCAACUUCAAACAUGAAUAACUGGUGCUACAUUUUUUGAAGAAUCAACCAAUACCUCUUAAGUUCAUUUCUCUCCAAGAAUGUGCGGACAACUUUCUACAUCUACCAAAAGGUGCAAAGAUUUUGUAAUGGUGAAUGACAAAUAAUCAAACCAGAAAAUCUAUUUAUAUAUACAUGCCUUGUACUAAAAUGAGUGGAAAAGCAAUAUACAACCAAUAACCAACAAAUGCAAAUUUGGUGCUUAAAUAUUUUUCAGACAAAACGAACAGAAAGCAGACACAAUAAGAAAUCAAAAGGCCGUUACUCAGAAAACAACAUGAGUAUAAGAUUUACUUUCGAAAUACAUAUCCCCUACUAAUCCUAAGCAAACAAAUAAAAGAUAAAAACUCACCACUUCAGCCCCAUCAUUUGUGAAUUCUAGAAAAGAGCCAAUUGCCCUGGCAAAACAGAUAAAGAGUGCGUUUAAGCAACAUACAAUAAUUCCAAGAGAAAAAUAAAAGCACCUAAAAUGUAGCAAAUGUUAAUGUAAGACUUUGAAAUUACUUGAGAGCAGCAAUUCUAACACGGUUGCUUGUCUCAUCCUGUAAGCAUUUGAGUAAAAGAGCUUGCAUAUCAGCAAAAUGUGGUCGAAAUGUUUGUCCAAUCGUUUCAGUUAAAGAGCUAAAAAGAAUCAGCGCCACCUAAUACCAUCAAGUAAAAAAUGUAAGUAAAGGAAUCGGCAAAUAUAUACAAGAACAAGCAUUUGGACAACUCAACCAAGAUUUAAACCCAAAAAUUACGUUGUAAUGGUAUUUUAUGAUAUCAAGAUAAAAUGACAAGGAUUUUUCUUCAUUACAGGGAAUCUGCCAUUAUAAUUUCUUGCUCUAAUUUAUGUAGCUAUGAAAAACUUAUGUGCAAAAUAAGUUCUUCCUUAUGUCCAUACUUAUGGUAAACAUUCACCUACAGUAAAAGUUGCCAAUCAAUUAAACCAAAAAACUCAUAUAAUUUCCAAACGUAAGCAUGCUGCAAUAUAUAAACCACCAAUUCAAAUUGCAUAUACAAUAGUGUUGGAAAAAAACUAUUGGAUAUGUAAACUAGUGCGACAGGAAAGCAGGGCACCAUUCAGAAAGAUUUCAACUGUCAAGGGCUUACCUCUCGAUGCUCUUCUUGCUCACUCUGACUAAAUUGGAAUAGAAAUGGCAACAAAUCAGGCCACUCUCCCGCUGGAACAGCGUAUUUUGCAAUAAUACUAACAACAUUUGCACUAGCACGACGUACAGGUGCACUGCAAAGAGUCAGAUAAUCCAUGAUCAAAAUAUAGCCAAUUUUUUUUUUACUAUAAAGCAAUUUUCUUUACCCUAACAUGCAAUGCUAAAAUUUAAAUUAUUUUCAACAUUUAAAAAAAAAAACCACCUGUGUUCGAGGGUGAUGCUUUCAAUGAGAGACUGCUUAACGAGCUGCUUGAGUUGAGGAGAUAGCUUGGCCCAAUGACCGGUGAUCUUCUUACGGAGGAGUACGGCGGCGAGCUGGCGAACGUUGGGAGUCUUGGCAGUGCGAAGGUGCUGAACAAGAGCAGGGACCACCUGAGGAUCCUUCGCCAGCCGCUUUAUCUGGUCCUCCGCUUGCCGUCGCGCGUCGUUGUCCGGCAUCAGGAAUUGAAUCAACAACAAUUCUAAGGAUUGCGCCAUUGCUUUUGCGAUUAGAUAAAAACCCUAAUACAUACACAACACAACAAGGCGCCAAGGCAAAAUACGACUGACAAAAAGGCAAAGGCUGGCUGCUGGUGCAGGGGUUUUGUGCCUUUGCUUUGUAUUUAAGGCUUGCAAAAGCCGUGGGGUUUUAAUAUUUAUACACUCCUGUCUUUGGGACGAAGGGAUUUGUGUAAUUUUACUUUACUAUACUGUUUCUCGACAAUGUUACAAUGUUACAAUGUUAUACCAAUAUGACAUGAGAUUUACUCCGAUACCCCUUCCACUGAAACCCUGUGUGUGAAUGUUUCAAUGAUCAUAGAGCGUUAAGGAAGUCUUGUGAGUAAUUUCUGGGAUUCAAUACCUGAUCAAUUGAAAACUAAUUUCUUACGAAAAAUUGAAAUUCAGAUGCUCGUGGAUCAGUUAAGUUUGCUAUUAAUUAUUCCGGGCACUGCAAUUAAUUUGGGAUAAGUCGGAGGAAAUCUUAAUCUUCUGUGAAAAUUGUGGAAAUGUAUUAAUAAAGUGGGUGAUAGAUUUCAAAAAUAUUUUGAAAUGUAUUCUUUUUUGCUAUUGUUUUUCGGGUCCAGCUAUGUUGCAACAGUGGUACGGUACCACUGUUGCUUUCAGCCAUUGGAUCUUGCUAAUGCAACUAUACAAUUAUAAAUCUAAUGGCUGAAAGUAACAGUGGUACCAUAUCACUGUUGCCCCUUGUUUUUCAUUAAGGAAUCAUAUUUACAUACAUUUUACAUUUGAUCCAUACUUCUUUAAUUUGAUUUUCGUGAAAUAGUGUGGGAAAAUCACGAGGGGACGAAAAGGACGUUGGGCUUCUUGAAAGGUCGUAUGUUCCUGGAUGCCCUCUAUAACUAAGAUUGGAAUUGGAAUGUUGCAACUUUUAAAUUAUAGUUACCGUAAAAAAAAAGUUAUAAUUAUGAAAUAAAGAUUAAUAAUAUAUAGUAAAUAUAAAUUUUAAAUAAUAAUUUUAAUAAAAUUAUUAAAAAUAUAAUAAAUUUGUAUCAUACGAGUGUAAAAUUAAAUCAACAUAACUUCUAAGUUACAACAGUUAAUGUUUACUAAAUACUUUAGUGCUGUGACUUUUAAGAUACAACUAUUCAAUUUUAAUCGCAAACACACUCUAAAUGUAUAUAUUCGGUAUUCCCUUAUAGUGUAACCAAAAAAAGUAAUUAUUAUUAAUAACAAUACUAAAUAGCAACUAAUAAUGGCGAUGACGACAACAACAAAAACAACGAUAAUAGAAUAUUAAAAAAAUAUUUUAAUUGACUUAAAGAUGCUUUGUCAUUUACAAAUUUUCAAACGAACAACCUGUCGUUCGACAACGCAUGAUGGCAACGAAUGUUCGUCCGUCGAUGUGCGUAAAUAGAGCACCGGUGCACAGUAUUUACGGCUCAUCGUUUAUAUGUUGAAUGCAAAUAACGUGUUGUUUUCCUCAUCGGAAACCGAACAAUGCUCGUCCCCUAUAUUUAUCCCCAGACGACCUGUCAUCCGGAUCGUUGAAUUCCAAAUGAUUUACAAAAAAAUAAUAGUAAUUCUAAUAACAAUUCUAAUUAAAACUAUAGCUGGUAAUUACAAUUGAAACUAUAAUUAUGAUUAUAGUAAUAUAACAAGAUAGCAAGCUUCGACCACAGAGAUACACCGCUAUGCCAUAAAAUGUAUACUUGAAAUCCAUAGACUUCAAUUUUUUUCUUUUUCCUUUUUUUUUUCCCUUACACAUUCCUUACUUACGAAAGACUGUGCCCCCAUUGGCAUGCUUACUUUGUCUAGGAACCAUAAUGAACAACUGCAAGUUACCAAAAUAACUUUAAUUAAUCAUAUUGUCCCUAGUAUUGUUAUUAUUUGUUAUAAUAGUAACAAUGAUAAUGAAAAAUAAUUAUUAUUAUUAUCAUAAGAAAAUAAUAAUAGCAAUAGUAUUGACGAUAACAACAACAACAACAACAAUGAUAAUAGAAUAUUGAAAACUUUCAAUAGGCCCGACGAUGAUCCGUCAUUUAGGGAUUUCCAGACAAAUGGCAUGUCGAUCCACUGCAAGAGAUAAAAACAUCCAAUCGUCCACCCUUGUAUUGCAACCGACGUGUAUAUAGUAAGCGCUAGCGCAUAUUAUUUAUGACUCGUUUUUUACAUAUUGAUGACAAACGACGUGUCGUUUUUUACGUUAGAAUUCAGAUGAGAUGACAUCUUACAUGUUUCACCCCCUGAUGACAUGUCAUCAGGAUCAUUGGAUUCCAAAUGAUUUUUACUGAGAGUGAGCAAUUUUUUGUUACUUUAGUAGAUACAUGAAAUAAUAAUCAUUACGAUUUUAUUUCUUUUAAAAAAAAGUGCACAAAUGCACUCAAAUAUCAGGGGUGAUCACGACAUUUGAGUUCUAAUCUUAAUCCUGACUAUCGUGGCUUAAUGAUUGAUUAGAUUAUUAAAUUUAUAAUUAUGAAAAUUUCUUAUUUAUCAUCCAAUAAGUAGGUUACACAAUUUUAAUAGUAAUUAUAAUAACAAUUCCAAUUUCAAAUGUAGCUAGUGAUUGCAAUUGAAACCAUAACUAUGAUUAUAGUAAAAUAAUAAGAUAGUAACCCUAGCCCAUAUAGAUACAUCGUUGUACCAUAAAAUUGUGGACUUGAAAUCCCACAUACUUUAUUGUUAUGCUUACUUUAUCCAAGAAUAAGACUAGACUACUACAAGUUGCCAAAAUAUUGCUAGUUAAUUAUAUUGCCCCUUGUAUUAUUGUAAUAUGUUAUAAUAGUAACAAUGAUAACGAAAAAAAAUAAUUAUUAUUAUGAUAAAAAAAUAAUAAUAGCAAUAAUACUGAUGACAACGGCAACAACAAUAAUAACGAUAACUGACUGUUAAAAAUAUUCUAAUCGCUCCGAAGAUGAUUUGUUGUUUAUGGAUUUCCAGAUGAACGACCUGUAGUUCGAUGGCGUGUGAUUAGGACCACCUUUGUAUUGUAGCCAACAUGCAUAAAUAGUAUGAGUUGGUGCAUAUUAUUUAUGACUCAUCAUUUACAUGUUGACGACAAAUGACACAUUGUCCUUAUUAUCAGGAUCCGGAUGAUGUGACAUCUUACAUGUUUCUCCCCAGAUGAUCCCUCAUCCUCUCUAAAAUUUACAAAUAAUUAUUACUAUAUGAAGGCGAGUUCCUUAAAAUGAUAUGUAGAAAGACUAUAAUUUAUUACUAUGUGGGAUCAAAAUUUUUUAUGACUUAAUGAAGAUAGUUACUUUAUAGAAUAUUACUAUAAAAAAUUUUUACUGUGCAAUAAAUAUAUAAUAGAAAAGUUAUGUGAGAUGCCUUGUUAGAUGACUAAUUAGGUAACCUCAAUUUAUAGCAGCGGGAGGAUUAAAUUUGAGGGAAAUAAUGUAAGUCACAAAACAUUAUCUUUUCAAAAUGGUUUCUAUAAUUAGAAUUACAAUAGAAACCAACAAAAGAAUUUUUUAGAAACAUUUAGUGUCGUUAAUUUUAGUGCAUAUUUAGUAAAGUAAGAUAUUGGGGAAUAAAUGAUGAAUUUUAUUAUUUUACUUCUUAUUUGUUAGGUACUAUAAACUAAGGGAAUAAAAUAAUUAUAUGUUUUUUAAAAUAUGUAAUAUAAAUUAUUGUACAAACUAAUGUAACAUAACAUAGUUGGUUAAAUGAAAUCUCCACAUGACCCACAUGAUUUAUCUUUAUUUUAUAUUUUCACUCAAUUAAUGAUAUAAUAUUAUAUCAGUUUGUGCAAAAAAUAAUUUAUAUAAGAGUUUGUAGCUCUAUUAAAGAAAUUUAAACAAUUUUCUUCAAACCACUGUGGUAACGUCAAUUUCUUAAACCUUAAUUAAAUUAAGGUUUAAUAAAAUAUACUUGCAAAGCAAAUGCCCAAAAUAGUAGCUUCCGUCCAAAGGAACAUAUCUUUAGGCGAUAUAGGGCCAUGAGCCUCCUAAACAUUGGGUCUAGUGGAUUGCAUUUCGUGGCGACAGCACACAUGAUGUUAAUUGGAACAUAAAUUUAUGUAUUGAAAUUGUGCAAACUGUAUUGUUUACUCGUUUGAAUAUUAUAAAUAAGGCACAAUAAAUACGCAAAAAAAUAAUUUAAUAUACUCCCAUAUUUAGGUUAUAGCUUGAAUGAGUCAUUGGUCGUUACCUUGAACAUAGCUAUAUACAAAUUCCACCUCCCCGAAACCAUUAAACUAUUUCAAUUAAUACAAUUGAAUGAUGAGGCAUUACUUUGAAUAAAAGAACCCCUACGACAUGUGCCUAAAUUUAAUUACAUUAUUUAAUAUCUACUUCUAACUCUUAUAUCUGAAAGAUAUAAGCCCUUAAUUUGUAGAGGCAUGUGGAUCGAUAAAAGUAGUCCAAGUUUGGCAUAUACGAUGUAUUCGUUUCCCUCAUCAGAAAAAUAAAAGAAAGCAUGGGAAUUUUCUAAAGAAUUUACUCUUUCACAAACACAUUCUACUUUCUUCACUGAAAACUCAUUCGAUUCAACUUUAUAUAUAAUUAAAGUAUGCACACAGAGGAAACAUAGAGAAACAGGGUGACGAUACCAAGAAGCAAUGGUCUCCAUUGCCUUCCUACCACUGCCAUCUACAAUAAUUAUUUUAUUAUUUUUCGGUAUUACAAAUUGGAAAAUUUUGGUUUAAAGGAGCAAUCUAUUUGUAAAUCCAUUCAUUUGCACGGCCUCCAGACUCAUCCAUGUCUAUAAAGAUGCUUACUGCCUGCAUCGUACAAUAAUUACAACUGUUAUUAUACACUCAAAUAAUCAUAUAAUUAAGCAAAAUUUUGGAUUUUUGUUCGGCCAAGGACAUCAAUGACGCAAGGAAUACACAAAUUAUAAUGUAGUAUUUCUUAAUUAAUAUGAUGUCUAAUAUUUUUAGUAUGUUUUUGUACCUCUUGUUGAAAUGCUUAAAGGUAAACUUUUCAGAACAUCUGAAUUGUCAAUGAAGCUCUUAAGGUCAUAAUAACCAAUGAAAAUAGUUAAUUAUCAUCAUAUCAUAAAUUAAAUUACCUUUCCAAUACGAGGUCGCUCUUUCAACUUUGCAAGACUAUUUCGAAUAUGUGAGACAGCUCCCCAACAUUUCAAUGUGUUUGCUACGUCAUCAAGCCUCAAAAUGUACUCUUCUUCGGUUAGUGGAAAGGAUCUCUAAACAAAGAAACAAGUAUUAGGACAUGAUUAGACUUCAAAACAAAACAGUUUAAAGAGUAUGAUAUAACCAUCUUUCAAAUGUUUUUAAGUAUUAUCACAAAAGUUUUCUUAAAAAAACAUCUUAUUAUCAUGUAAGUGUAAGAGUAUACUAAUUGUGCUUACGAAGUUUAGAGUAAUUAAUCAAACAUUAUAUAACUUGGUUUCUCUUAUUAGCACGAUACAUGCUUAGCUUGGACUCCAUUUUUCUUUUUCCUGUAGUCAUGCAGCUUUCCUACUUCUAAUUCGUGUUCCUCAAUACUUUUCUUCUUAGAGCUAAAAGCUCAAGCUAUGGUUCACAGUUGCCCUGCACAUUAUCAUUCACCAUGCGAAUAAACUAUUUCCUUCACAAUUCUACAAACUGCUACAUUAAACAAAAAUGUCCAAUCUCAAUUCCCAAAUCCCUUUUUGUACACAUAUGUUAGUACAAUCCUUAAAUUUUUAAUGUUAUCCUACUUUGAGUACUAUGACAUGACUUAAAAAUCAGAGAAUGAGAUAUUUCUAAAACUUACUUAUUACAUAUGCAAUAUUUUAAUCAGUGCAGUUUCAGCUGGAGGGAAAAGAAAAAAUAAAAUAAAAGAAGCCCAUAGAAUGAAAAUCUGUUUACCUGCUCCAUGUACUUCCACAUGACAUUUAGAGCAAGGAGAUUUCUUCCCAUAAACUCCUACAAGAAGCAUUCAGAAGUUAAAUGUGAGUAAAAACAAAAGAAAAAUAUCUGAAACAGUUUAAUAUAUAUUGAGCAAGAAAAUCAAAUUAAAAGAUAAAAGGGCAAAUAGCAUGAAUGCUAAAGGAAUGUAAAAGUGACUUCUAGCCUGCCAGCAGGGACAGCAACAUGAACAGGUUUAAAUAUUUUCUUAGCAUCCUUUAGAUCUUGUUUUAGAUUGAAAUGCUGUAACUUUUAAGCUACAGUUGUUGUGUAAAAAAAACUAUAACUAUGAAACAAAAGUUAAUAAUGUGUAGUAAAUAUAAAUUUUUAAUAAUAAUUUUGAUAAAAUUAUUAAAGAUAUAAUAGAUUUUUCAUCAUAAAAGUAAAAAAUUAUAUCAGCAUAGUUUCUAAUUUACAGCAGCUAAUGUUUACCAAACACUUUAGUGCUGUAACUUAAAAGGUACAAUUGCUCAACCUCAAUCCCAAACGCACCCUUAAUAUGGCUAAAAGGCAGCGUCAUUCACUCAUUCUUUGUUUUGAUAUUCAGAGUUUGAUUCUCUUUCUUUCUUUUCCUUUUACAAAAUGAGCAUUCAAACAAGAAAAAACAGUAGAAGUACCGCUAGAAUUUGUAGCAAACAAGUAAAAAUUAUUGUGAUCGUCAACUCUGCAACUUUAUCCCAAUCAUCUUAACCUCUGGUAGAUAGGUAUGUGCCUAAAAUAGGAUUGGCAGAGGGAAAGAACACAUUUUUAUUUUUUCAAGAGCCCAACCGACAUAUUAUCUCCUGAUCAAACUGACAAGUCGACAGAUAAACUUAAUGUUUCUUAGCACAGGGACAUAUCAUUCACUCAUAGCGGGUUUAUUAAAGCACACAAAAUUAGGAUGCUAAAUAGAGCACACAACACAACUGUUCUUUGAGCAUAAGCAUCAAGCCUAAGGACAAGUACACAAGGAUUGUAGAAAUCUAAGUUUAGACAUAGCUUUAAAUUUUAAGUUAGAAUGUAAUUAAGAAUGUUUAAAUAGCAAGUGGCUCACAAAUCUAAAAUUGGACCUCAAAAACCUCUUAUCGGUCAACUCAGAUUGGUAUCUCGAAUUUUUAGGCAAAUCAUUCUUAUUUAGUUUUAGAUCGUUGCACCUUUUCCUAACAAUGUUUUCUUUCUUAUUAAACAAAACUCCUAGAAAACCAUGGUCAACUGUUGACCGGAAACUUGACAGAUUACAUGGAUCAGUCUUAGGUAGGUUUCUGUGUAAAGUUGUAAACCUUUGUGUCCCUUGAUGCAUCUUUUGAUAUCUUCCAUAGUUCCAUUACUGAUUGGAUUUUAAGUGGAGUUCCAUUACUGAUUGGAUUUUAAGUGUAGAGUCUGAAAUUUAUUCAUCUCUCCUAGGUAUGAUCACAUCACCCCAUUAGAUCUUUUUCUCAUUGACUUGACUAAAUAAACUUAGAAUAAACUAGUAUUUGAAGACAAUGGACUCACCUAUAAUUGUACAUGAGCAAGGAUGAACUACAAAAUCUCCGUCGAAUGUCCACAAAACUUAUAGAAGAUAGUAAGCAGAAAUUCUAUUGUACAUGGCAUGCACACAUAAGCAGUUUUUGCUAAGUUAAUAUUGCAACCAUCAUCGCCAAGGGAGCAAGCAAGCAUACUUUUUUGAUUAGUUGAACAUCAUAAGACCUUCCAUACUUUUUCCUGAUAAGAGUAGCAAGAUCCAAACCACUAAAGGUGGAAUCAUCUACCCCAACAAUUCUCUCAAGAUUCUCUCUAAGCAAUUCACUAUUCACCUGCAAAAACAGUGCGUCCCCCUUUCAUAAUUAUAUAAAUAGGAUUGAACAAGAACAUGAAUAUGUGCUGUGUACUCAACCAUGCAUGCCAUGUAAAAUUCUUACUCCAUUUUCGUCUUUGGGAGAUUCUUUCUUGUUGCUUGCGUCAUCUCGUGAGCCAUCAUCAGGGUCAUUGCCAUCAUCCACUGCACUACAAAAUAUUGGCCCACAUCCACUGAAGUGUUUAUCAUGGGAAGAAAAUAGUCCUUUGUAAGGAAAAUUUGAACCAAAAUAUCUUGAAUAAGGAAUGAUCUUAUUGAAUCUUGCUCUGUGUAGAUGAUGCUCUUCAACCCCAACUGACCAAUUAAACUGGUGGCCUGGUAUAAUGCUUGUCAUUAUAUUCUUUAAUAUUUGCUUAAAGGCUGAUUCUCAAAAACUGUAACCAGUGAACCGAAAAUUAUGUAAAGAAAUGGAUAGAGUUUUUAGUUGGGUGGCUUAGGCAAUUAACAAAUAUUUGUUUUAUUAUCUGUUUUUCUUUUAGAUUUAAAUAAAAAAAAAUGGGCCAUAAAAUUGUGGACCACUUAUUAGAUAAGAGAUAUACUGAAUGGACCAAAACGCAUCGUUUUGGGUUGAGUUUUGGAGAAUAAAAGUAUAGGGUAAUUUUUGAAAACCUCCCCUGAGGUUUGCCCUUGUUACACUUGGAGAGAAUGUAUGCAUAUAUUGACAUAUAGCACCUGUGACCGUGUAUCAGUGUUAGACUGCCAUUUGCUCUAUUACCGAAAGUACAAUAAUACCCUUCACUGCACAGUUCAAUAACUGACAAUACUUGCAGCAACGUGGAGUUGCAGACUUGACGAUGCUUCUUACAUUGCAGAAGAUAACAAAACAGAAGCUUUUAACUUAAUUAAAAGGCCUAGUGAAUCAAGAUUUUGCCAUGAUUUUGUGAGGAUCUUAGGGUUUGAUUGAAAGAACUGUGCAACACCAUUUGCAACACACACGCAAUGUUCACAGCACACCCUCUCUCGCUCUCCCUCACAGCUCAUGCCACUAAUCUCACCAAGCCACCAAUCUCCCAUUCUUCCUCACCACGCUCCGUCGACAGCUCUCACUCUCUUUCCCCUCCAAAUCCAACAGUUGUGGGUCACGGGUCACACUCUCUUUCUCCCCUCGGAUCUCCAAAUCUAGCACAAAACGCACGGUUCACUCUCUCUCCCCCCUUCAAUUCCAGCCGCCGUGGGUCACUCUCUCCCCCCUCUAAUUCCAGCAGCCGUAGGUCACUCUCUCUCCCCUCCAAAUCUAGUAGCCGUGGCCCGUGGGUCAAUUUGUGGAGGUAAUUUGCCCCCGAGGUUCCACUUGAAGGAGCAAAGAAUCUCAUUUUUGUUGAAAGAAUAAAAAAGGGAGUAAAUUUAGGAGAAAGAGAAGAACCUGGAAAACACUCGGCCACAGUCAGAAGAAUGGCCUCUAGUACCACAAUUUUUUAGAUGUGCUAUAUAAUUAGAUUGAACAACAUAUAAAAACCACCUCUCAUCUGGAUUUAUGCGUGUGUGCGUAUCAAACAAAAAACGGAAAAACAAAAAUUAAAACUUGCAAUUCGCCUUAAAAGAAUUGAACCCAUAUACAAAAGAAAAUUGAAAAAGAAAGCUACAUGGGGUGCCUGCUGGUUUUCUUUCUCUUUUGUUAUGAAUAACUAGUGCACCAUUUUCUAAAGAGGUGAAAGAAUCAUAAGAAGAAGAAGCAUUAAUAUUGAUGCUAUUUUUUAACAUGGGGUUAGAAUUUUUGUUGACUAGCAAAGCAAUACGACAAACUGGUGGUGAUGCAGGAAUAGUGGCCUUUGUUUUUCAGCUUUACUGAUAAAAGAACGAAAUGGGUGGAGAGGAAGGGGGGAAAAGAGAAAGAAAAGAAGAAAUUUUUUUUUUCCUUUUCUGCCUCCAAAUUCUUUUGAGAGAGAGAAAAAAUAAGAACGAAGACAUGGAGAGGAAGCAAAAGCUAUUGCGUUCUUUCUGCAGUCAGCCUCUUUAUUUUUGCAAUUACGUUAUUGCCCUUAACAACCAAACGGCACUCUAACGCUCAUACACGGUCAGGGGUGCUAUAUGUCAAUAUAUGCAUACAUUCUCUCUAAGUGUAGCAAGGGAAAACCUCAAGGGAGGUUUCCAAAAAUUACCCUAAAAGUAUAAAACGUUAAAACACAAAUUCUUUUACCGUGGUAAAGAAAAAAAAAAAAAAAAACACAUCAAAACAAGUACAAGCGGGCAGUUUGUGAUUUAGUCCCAAGUAGAAGCGGGGGCAGCCUCAAGCCCGCAGCUCAUAAUGGCUGCGUCCUCGCUUCCCAACUCAAUAACCGCAGCAUUAUGCCUCAUAAGCGAACCCGAAAGCGCACCCCCAGCCUUCAGCUAGGGCCCAGCAGGGUCGUCGCUACCGCAGGCUCAACCGAGAUAGGGACCACCACCGGGCCGAUGGCUUGGUCGGCAGCAGCGGCGAUUGGUAUCGCUUGGCGGGGUGCAUGGGUGGUGGUGUGGGGAUCUAAGGCUGGAAUUGUUGGCUGUGGCGGCAGCGGCGGAGGCCGUCGACUGUGACUGUGGCUGUGCAGAGGAGUUCUGCUGCUGCAUCACCAUCACCAUCACCAUCAUGACCGUGAAUCAUUCUGAUAAGUCAUUUAUUUUUCGGUUUGCGCUUCUUCAGAAUUAGAGUUUUGGAUAAUUCAUGGGGUUUAAGGAUUUUUUAUUUUGUUAUUGAAAAGAAGAGUGGUUUGAUUUGUUGUUUAUGGAUGGGGGUAAGCAGAAAUUGAAAAUUAAUUUGUUGAAAUGUUUUUGUUCGCUGAGAAAUGGGUGGUGAAUGUAUCUGAGAGUGAAAGUAUGGAGUCGUCUGUCGCGACUAUAAUUUUAACAUAUUUAUCAUUUAUUCUUUUUUUCCAACAAAAUGCUAUUCGAAAG
rnacentral:lncRNA from 1 species